ACUGUUAUAAUUUAAGGCUUGCUCUAGACCUAAACUUGUGGGAUGAAAACUUGAUCUGAAGUCUAAGUUGUUAACAGAUAUGAUAUGGGAAGGUUGAGCUGCUGUUUAUCUGUUCCUAGAGAUGCUAGAAUUCUGGAGAAUUUUAUCUUUGAAAAUCUUUAAAAUGUUGCAUGAUGAGUUCCUAUAUGAUGAGAGUUUAAAUUCCUACCACAGCCAUAUAUACAUGCUUGCUAGACUUUGAGCCACACAUUUAUUAUUUACUGCUUAUGAGCAUUGAGUGUGGUCAAGCUGUGUAGACCCUUAGGAGCUUGUCAUGUGGUUAAAUCAAGAUUUCACUUGCACGUUCACUCAUAUAUGCUACUUCUACUCCGGAAGUACCAUCCACAUAUAUCCAUCCAUUUCCAUCUCCAGAAUCACCCAAAAAUAUUCUACUCCUAAUCCGGGAGAGAAUAACCAAAAAUAUUUCUGUUUUCCCCUUGUGAAAUAAAUGCUCAAGUUAUCUUGUUACUACCACUUGCUAUAUUAUCUCAAGAGAUGAAUGCUCUGAAAAAAAAGAGAAAAAAAAGAGAUACGAGGAAAUAAAAAGGAGCAAGUGCUCGGAACCUCGAAAGAAAAGAAAAAGUGAGACGAGAGGUAAAAAUAGACAAGUGUCCGACAGUAGAAUUAGGGGUACAAGAUACCCACCUGAGAGACAAGAAAAAGGAGAGCAUUUCAUUCUCCUCAUAAAGUUUCAAAAGCAAGGAAGGUAUGUAUCCCCUCAAAGAGCAAAGUAGAAUUAGACUUCCACCACCAUUGUUUUCACCAUUGUUAUCAUCAUCACCAUACACCAUUCAUUCACCACACAUACACAUCUUGAUUUGGCUUAUUGAUUUGUUUCUUUGGAUCCAUGGUUUGACUAUGCAAUAAAUGUCUUGUAAGUAUGUAUACUUUAUCUCCCACCUAUGAGCUCCAGAUAUUAAAGCCUUAUUAGAGUAGGGUGAGAGAGAAGGCAAUGUCACUAUGCCUCAUACCACAAAUACUACAUAUUUUGAGAGAAGGCAUAUACCAUCACUGCCUUGGUAAGGAUCCAAAAAUACCACAAAAGAGAGACCUGAGAGAAUCAUACAAGGAAUUUCUGAGUUUUAUUUGAAAAUCUGCAAAAACCCCAGAGCUAUAGCUGAUCAAGAAUAAGAGACAUGGCACUUGGCUAGACUGUUCUAUCUUUUAACUACUCAAGACAGAAGUGACGGUUACAAGUCCCAUGGUGAAGGUAAAGUAAGUAAGUUUUAAGUUUUGACAGUUUACUCUAACUCAGAGAUGAGAUUUUAUCUAAAAAGCAUGUGUACCGUCAAUUUUUAAAAUAUUGCAACAACUUAUGAUCCAUAGCUGAGUCUAUCCUUGCUCAGGGACGAGCAAGAGGUAAGCUUCGGGGAGUUUGUUGACGGUCCUUAAGUAUCAAAUUUAAUUGUCAAAUAAAUAAAGAAAAGGAUCCAAAUGAAAUCAAGAUCUAGACUUAGGGUUUUAUCUGACAGAAUUCCAUGAGUUUUGGUGUUUGUCUAUUUCUGCAGGGGGUUAUCAGGAAAUAUGGAAGAAAGGCCCACAUGUCGGGAUUACGUAAAGAUAUUAACGUGCUGUGCAGUUAUCUUACAUCUAGAAGACUCCAGAAGCCACGAGACCGAAGCGAAGGCGAAAUGGGGCCAGAGGCAGGGCACCCGCCCUCCUGCCCUGGGCGCCCGCCCCCUCCCUGAGUCCAAUCAGGACUCUGCUUCGUGGGAGAUCUCCACCGACCUAAAGGAUGAAUCUAAACCAUACAAUCUAUGUCGGUUUGAUCCAAUGGCCCAUAUUCACUUGAAGGGACUAUAAAACCAGACCCCCUGGCCCCUGGAGGAGAGAGCCUCUCAACCCGAAUUCAUUGUUCCAUCAAGGGAGAAGAAGCCUCUGAUCAAGAUUAGAGCCACCACAUCAAUUAGACAUCUAGAUUAGCAUAGCUACAUAGGAUUAGAACUAGAAGGAGUCAAUCUUCGAUUGGUUUCCGGAUCUGUCAAGAGGAUUCUUGGUAAUUCUCUAAUUGUGCUUCUAAUUGCUUUCUAAUUAUCUUUGUUCUUCAAUAUUAUGAAUAUGACUUUGUUCUACUUCAAUAUAUUGCUUAUGACUUUGCUCUACUUGCUUAUAUUCAAGAUUAUAUUGUUCUCAGUUUAUCAUAGUUAUGUACUUGGCUUAGUUAGAUUCGAUCUAUAUACAUGCUUAGGAUCGUAUAGCGUUUAUCCAUCGGAUCCAUGGGUAAAUGAUAGAUAUUGUGUAGGCGUGGUGCUUAUACCGUAUUUAUCUGCGAUUGUACCCAAUAUGCCAGAUCGUGGGGUGGUUCGUGAUAGUGACAGCUUCAUUGAUUCUUAUAUAGUCCCCCUCUCGUGUAUUGGGCUGGCAGAGCAACAUUAUUACAGGGGAGUGAUUGCUAUGUUUCUCAUAUUCCUUGCUAAUAUCACUAUGCAUGGGCGUAGUCUUGUCUCGCAAUGAUUGCUAAGUAUGCUUGCACUAACUAUGAUAUGCUAAACUAUAUAGUUAAGAAUAACUUAGGGAAUAUUCUUGUAGUUCAUUCUAAUACCAUGCUAAUGACUUUCUAGAGUAUUUAAUUGAGGUGCUUAUCAUAUUUAUUAUGUGGCUAGAUCAGAUUAGUUAUCCUUGUCACUAUUAUUAUUUCAUAUAACUUUUAUGUGACACUUAUCCCUGUAUGAAGAGUUAGAUAUAAUGUUCUCAAUUAUACAUGCAAUGAUGGAUGCUCAAUCUCAUAUUCUAUUCUGUAAUCAAUAGUGAUGAUUGCUAAUCCCUUCCCAGUGGUAAAAAUAUAAAUAACGAUACCUGGAAUACUUCCCGGUUAAAAUGCUGCAUCGGUAUUAAUCUGUGCGCUUGCAGAUCCCAUUCAUUAUUUAUUUAGAAGAGCAAUUGCAUAUUUCAAUACCGCGUCUCUCAUGUCAUGCCGGGGAUGACAACUUGGCUUAAGUGGUGUGAGGGAUAGGUUUGGCAUUUUUGGCACCGUUACUAGAUUUAGAGAACUUAAUCUACUUUUGGUAAUGAUGUUGAGAAUACCCAACAGUACGUUGGUGAUCAAGACCAAGUUUUUGAAGACCAGCAGGCUCAGGAGAGCUUUGAGCAAGACAAGUAUAACUUGGGAUCAUCCUUGUUACCUAUUCACUUAUAAAUACAUAUAUAUCAUAUGCAUGCUAUCACCUUGUCGACCUUAGCAAAAUCAUAGAUGAUUGUUACCUGUAUUCCUUGCUACCUACUUGAUAUGCAUUUGGUGUAGAUGUGCUAGUGCUUGAUAUAAUCUAUGAUCUUGUAAGAUGAUUAAUAGCUAUGCAAUGAACAUAAAAGAAUGAUAAAUAACUGUAUGAGAUCUUGUCUGUACGUGAUCACCCGGGGUAACAGUGCAACCAUGAGGGCUAUAAUGGCUCUGGCUUUAGCUCAGUAUGAAGCCCUUUUCUAGCUUGUUAGAGGUUACCCGAAAGGGCGAAGGGGCUGAUCCGUUUUGGGUAUAGUGUGUCCUCUGUCUGUAUGAGUAUAGGCUGCGAGUCAUUGUGCCAUUGGAAGGGGGGCUCUAUAUCUGCGCGCAAAGGAAAGCUUGCGGCCCUAACUUGUUAGACGAACUUUUGAAAGGCAUCAUAGUGAUCCCUGCCGACCUCCCUAGGAAGGGGGUUAAGAGAUUAGCUACGUCGGGCGAAAGGGUAAAUCAUGACUCAUGGGUAAAUAUGUACAACCUCUGCAGAGUGUAAAACUGGUAUACUAGCCGAGCUCAUGGUCAGGAGCGGCCUUGGGGACAUCUACAUUAAGAUGAUGAGCUUGUUACGUUAUUAUGUUCAUUUGAUUAUCGUUUAUGCUAAGAAUUAAUUAUGCUUACACUUGAUCAUGUGAUUAAUGGAUUAUUUACGCUACCUUGACAAUUGCUAUUUAAUUAUGAAUAUGCUAUCCACUAUUAAAAGCUAAAUGCAGUCAAACCAGUGUCAGCUAUUUGAGCCUCAUGAACCCCUGGUUAUACUUAUUCAGUACGAUAUGUGCUCACUCUUGCAAUUUCCCAACACCUCAGGAUAUGAUAAUGAAGAUGACUUUAAUGAGGAUUACCGCUAUGAGUACUAGGUUUGGAGUCAACCAGUCCACAGUGUCCCUGUGUGAAGCUUCCGUCGAGAGCGUUGUUUACUUUAUGCUAUCAUUUUUGUAUGAGACUAUGUGAUAUAUUAUAUUCCGCUAUGUAAUAAACACUGUAAUGUUACAUUUGAGCUUUGUCUACUUAUGUGUGCGACUAUUCCUGGGGCACAUAUGAGUCUUUUAUGCAUCCUAUUUUGUUCUUAAAAUAUGGGUGUGACAAAUUGGUAUUAGAGCUUUGUUGACUGUCGGACGCAAGACUAGUUAGAAAUUGGUCGUCUUAAGAUUUUGAAAUUGCUAUAAAAUCUUUGCUCUAUAAACCUUGAUAAUUUCUUCUACACUAUAUCCUAUUCAUCCUCACCUUGUUGCUUAUUUUAUAGACAUGUUCUCAUCCCCACUCCUUGCUUUGAAUAUGCUUUUAGAACCUUCUCUUACCACCUUCUGGCAUCGUUGAAAUAGGAGUUAUAGGAUCUUUACCCUUAAUAGGAAGAGAACGUUAGUACCGCAAGUUGAGUCAAUGCUUGAAGUGUGAACCUUUGAUGCUUGGUUUGGUUUGUUAUUAUGCUUAUGCUUGAUUUGAAUCUUUGUAAUGAGUGUAAUGAUCUUGUGGAUUUUCUCUACAAUUUCAUUUAGUUUAUAGGCUUAAGGCAUAAGGAUUAAUGAACUAAAUAGUUGGGUUUGGUUAAAAUUCUGUUUCUGUCCUUUGCUGUUUUCUGGAGCAGUCUGCAAAAAAUCUGGUACAUCUCAAAAUCUGUUCGUGUAAUAUUCAUCAAAUUUUUCCAGGAUCCAGUAAACUCUCAUAUCUUUCCAAUGCCUCAAGAAUGAUAAUAUUAUCGGUUGUGAGCUGUGAGAUAUGACUGUACAAAUUUGAGGUUUCUGCGCAGUCUGGAAUUCUAGAACAGUUCCGGUUGUACACAGUUUUUGAUUCGCCUAACUUUGGAAUCUGGUAAUAUGAUCUAAACGAAUGUUGUAGACAAUUUCUUUAUAUUUCCAACGGUGUACAGCAUGGAUCCUUUUGAAUUCUGGAACUCGAGAUAUGACUGAUAUUCUGAUCUGCUGAUGUUGGAUGUUACCCAGAAAAUUUCAGAUUCUGUUAACUCUUGUAAUUGUCAUGUUGGACAUUACUAAGAUGUGUUUAUGUACCUUGGAAUGCAGAUGGCAGCAAGGAGAAGAGGCAGAGGUAGAGGCUGUGGCAAUGGCAAUGGUGGCAAUGCCCCAAUCACCGUGGAGGAACUCAUGCAAACCCAAAAUGAGAUGAUGCACGUCUUCAUGCAGCACUUACAGCAGCAACCCCCACCAACACCACCACCUGUUCAUGUGAGGGAUAAGCGUGGGGAGUUUAUGAAGGGAAGACCUCCUGUAUUUACACACUCAGCUGAUCCCAUGGAGGCAGAUGAUUGGUUACGUGCUGUGGAGAGGCAACUGAACAUAGCACAGUGCAAUGACUUGGAAAAAGUGUUGUAUGCUUCUGGACAACUUCAAGGUGCAGCUCAGACAUGGUGGGAGUCGUAUCAAGCUGCUCGUCCCAACAAUGCUCCUCCGGUCACUUGGUUGGAGUUUUGCAGAGACUUUAGAGCACGACAUAUCAAUGAACGAAUGAUGGAGCUCAAGCAGGAGGAAUUCAGAUCUCUCAGGAUGGGUUCUAUGUCUGUGGCUGAGUAUCAUGACAUGUUUGAGCAGUUGGCUAGCUCGCUAUGCUCCAAACAAAGUUAGAGAAGAUGCUGACAAACAACGUCUCUUCAUGAAAGGUCUCUACUAUGAACUUAGGUUGCAACUAGCUGGAAACACAUAUCCUACCUUCUAGGCUCUGGUGAACCAUGCUAUUGUGUUGGAUACCAUGCGAAAAGGCCAGGACAAGAAGAGAAGGAUGCUAGCACAAGGGUCUGGAGGCAACAACCGUCAACGUUUCAAUUCUCAGCAGGGCGAUCAACAGAGGUACCAUGGACCGGUUGGCCAAUGGGAUCGCAACCUACCACCUCAGCAUAAUCAUAAUCAACAGCAGAGUGGUCAGCAGAAUCACCGCUGAGGAAAUUCAAAUGCCACCUCUAUGAAGAGAAGUGCCCCCAAUACCCCUACUAGGUGUUUUCGCUAUGGAAAAGAAGGUCAUAUGUCAUAUGAUUGUCCAAAAAGGUUCAACCAGCACAACAACAAUCAAAAGUCUAAUUCUCAUGGAGCAAAGGUGAACCAUGUGGCUGCAGAAACAGUUCAGGAGGGACCAUAAAUCAUGAUGGGUACGUUCAGUAUCAACUCCAUCCCCGCUAUAGUUUUAUUUGAUUCUAGAGCUUCGCAUACAUUCAUAUCACAAGCAUUUGUUAGAGCUCAUAGCAUUCCACUAGUAGCCAUGAAAACCCAUAUGCUAGUAAACUCACCGGGAGGGACUAUACCAGUUUCAUAUUGUUGCCCCUCAGCAAGUCUUUCUUUAAGGGGGGUAGAUUUCCCGGUUAGUCCCAUGGUUAUGAGAACCUCAGGCAUAGAUGUGAUAUUGGGUUUGGAUUGGAUGAAGAAAUAUGCUACAGAAAUUAAGUGCAAAGAGAAUGUAGUAGUUGUGACAACACCCAAGGGAGAGAGAAUUAGUGUGGAUGUAGCAGUACAGGCUCCACCCACAGCUACAGUGAACCAGCUGGAUGAUGAUAUUCCGGAUUGUGCAAUGAAUAAAUUCCCAGGUGAUUUCUUAGAAAAGCUACCAGGUAUGCUACUUGAUUAGGGACAUUGAAUUUGCUAGUGCAAUGGAAUUGGUUUUCAGAGGCAGAAGCAACUUGGAAAAGAGAGGAUGUUUGGAGAGGGUCAUAUCCACGGUGGUUUGUUUAAGCACCUUUCAAUCUCGAGGACGAGAUUCUUUUAAGGGGGUAGAGUUUAUAACACCCAAAAUUUUGAUUUCAAUUAAUAAGAAUUAAUUGAAUUUAUUUAAGUAUUGUUGUGGGCAUUUAAUCUAGUAAAUAAAUAAUUUUUGUCAAAUUUAAAACUCAUCACAAGUUUAGAAACUUGAAUCUUGCAUUCAUGCCGGAGCAUAGUAUUUUUUUUUGUGUGUUUUCCUGUUUUUAUUUUAUUUGUUUGUGCUUUCAAAAUGCUAUUUGGAAAAGGUUUUGGAAAAGAAAACAGAAAAGAAAUUGGAAAAAAAAGAGAAAGGGGGAAGCCCUCCCUGUCGGCCUGGCGGCCCAGCUAGCGCCUGGCCCAGCGCGCUCUCGGCCCAGUGGCUAGGCCCGCGUGCGCAGCGCUCCCUCCCCCUCCUCUCAGCGCUUCAAUCUCCUUCCUCUAUUCGUAACCGAGCCGGACACGGCCGGGAGCCGAUCGAACCCGAUUUCUCAGGAUUACUUGCCAAACGCGUUAGCCGAGCCCCUAUAUAAUCCCUAGCAUCGCCCCCGCGCGUGUUUCCCAUCUUCGCCGCGCGAAAUCCGUGCCCUAGCUACAGCAGCCGCCAGACGGGAUCUCGCCGCAAGCCGAGCGCCUUGCCGCGCGCCGCGAGCUCCUCCCGUCGUUCUUCGGCCCCAGCAAAACACCCCCUCGAGUUCGCGGUGAGCUCCUCUACCCCGUGGUGUUUUCUUUUCGCAAAACGGUGCUCGGAAUCGGGAAGCCCGUUGACGCCGGCGAGCUCCUUUCGGCCGGCAAUGGAACCGCCGAGCCGGAACAGGCAGCCGGUCGGCCGGCCACUGCCUGGUUACCCCCUGUUGGUUUCUGAACCGUCCAAUCAAGAUCCAAGGGCCCAAAACAGAUCGUACCCCUUCGCUGCUCUUUUUCAUAAAGAGCCCCUGGAAGAUUUGAUAAUCAACCCGCGGUCCUUGGCGCCCUGCACCAGUUUACGUAUCCUGUCCGUUUGAGUUCAAAGGCGUUUUGAGAUAUUUACAUUUGCCACUGAUUUUAUAAUGCUCAUAAAAUAUUCAUUUUAACUCCGUUUUUGUCCAUUCAAAUUCCGUUGGAUUCGUAUUUACGGUCUCUACAUGUUAGAAUUAUUAGUUUCCUGUUUUGAAACUUUUUAAUUCUACAGUAGCAUUUAAUUAAUUAUUUCUCUAUAGGAAAUCUUAGAAAAUUCAUAUCUUUCACGUUUUAAUUCUGAUUUUCGUGAACAUUUUGUGUGAUCGUAGCCGUACGUUGGUGAUCAAGACCAAGUUUUUGAAGACCAGCAGGCUCAGGAGAGCUUUGAGCAAGGCAAGUAUAACUUGGGAUCAUCAUUGUUACCUAUUCACUUAUAAAUACAUAUAUAUCAUAUGCAUGCUAUCACCUUGUCGACCUUAGCAAAAUCAUAGAUGAUUGUUACCUGUAUUCCUUGCUACCUACUUGAUAUGCAUUUGGUGUAGAUGUGCUAGUGCUUGAUAUAAUCCAUGAUCUUGUAAGAUGAUUAAUAGCUAUGCAAGGAACAUAAAUGAAUGAGAAAUAACUGUAUGAGAUCUUGUCUGUACGUGAUCACCCGGGAUAACAGUGCAACCAUGAGGGCUAUAAUGGCUCUGGCUUUAGCUCAGUAUGAAGCCCUUUUCUAGCUUGUUAGAGGUUACCCGAAAGGGCGGAGAGGCUGAACCGUUUUGGGUAUAGUGUGGCCUCUGUCCGUAUGAGUAUAGGCUGCGAGUCAUUGUGCCAUCGGAAGGGGGCUCUAUAUCUGCGCGCAAAGGAAACCUUGCGGCCCUAACUUGUUAGACGAACUUUUGAAAGGCUUCAUAGUGAUCCCUGCCGACCUCCCUAGGAAGGGGGUUAAGAGAUUUGCUACCUCGGGCGAACGGGUAAAUCAUGACUCAUGGGUAAAGAUGUACAACCUCUGCAGAGUGUAAAACUGGUAUACUAGCCGAGCUCACGGUCAGGAGCGGCCUUGGGGACAUCUACAUUAAGAUGAUGAGCUUGUUACGUUAUUAUGUUCAUUUGAUUAUCAUUUAUGCUAACAAUUAAUUAUGCUUACACUUGAUCAUGUGAUUAAUGGAUUAUUUAUGCUACCUUGACAAUUGCUAUUUAAUUAUGAAUAUGCUAUCCACUAUUAAAAGCUAAAUGCAGUCAAACCAGUGUUAGCUAUUUGAGCCUCAUGAACCCCUGGUUAUACUUGUUGAGUACGAUAUGUGCUCACUCUUGCAAUUUCCCAACACCUCAGGAUAUGAUAAUGAAGAUGACUGGAAUGAGGAUUACCGCUAUGAGUACUAGGUUUGGAGUCAACCAGUCAACAGUGUCCCUGUGUGAAGCUUCCGUCGAGAGCGUUGUUUACUUUAUGCUAUCAUUUUUGUAUGAGACUAUGUGAUAUAUUAUAUUCCGCUAUGUAAUUAACACUGCAAUGGUACAUUUGAGAUUUGUCUACUUAUGUGUGCGACUAUUCCUGGGGCACAUAUGAGUCUUUUAUGCAUCCUAUUUUGUUCUUAAAAUAUGGGUGUGACACUCUAACUCUGGGCGGGUGCCCUGCCCCCGGGCCCGAUCACCUUCCCGUUCGUUCCCGUGGCUUCUGGAGUCUUCUAGAUGAUAGAAAAUUGCACGGCACGGUAAUAUCUCUAUGUAAACCCGACAUGUGGGCCUUUCCUCCGUAUUUCAUGAUGACCCCCUACAGAAAUAGACAAACACCAAAACUCAUGGAAUUCUAUCAGAUAAAACCCUAAGUCAGGGUGUUGAUUGCAUUUGGAUCCUUUUCCAUGAUUAGUUGACAGUUAAAUGUGAGCAUUAAGGACCGUCAACAAGCUCCCCUAAGCUUAACCUUUGCUCGUCCCUGAGCAAAGAUGAACUUAAGAGUUUCUGUAGUGGUUUCAUACCUUAAAGAUACUCAUGCGUUCAAACAAGAUAUCAUCUCUAAGUUAGGGUAAACUGUUAAGAUUUAAACUUACUCAUUUUACCUUCCAACUUGGGGCUUGCAACCGUCACCUGUGUCUUGAGCAGUUAAAAGAUAGAACGGUCUAGUCAAGCACCAUGUCUCUUAUUCUUGAUCAACUAUAGCUCUGGAGUUUUUGCAGAUUUUUCAAAAUAAACCUCAGAGAUUCCUUGUAUGACUCUCUCAAUUCUAUCUUUUGUGGUAUUUCUGGAUCCUUACCAAGGCAGUAAUAGUGUAUGCCUUCUCUCAAAGUAUGUGGUAUUUUUGGUAUGAGGUAUAGUGGCAUUGCCUUCUCUCUCACCCUACUCUAAUAAGGUUUUGAUAUCUGGAGCUCAUAGGUGGGAGACAGCUAAUACAUACUUACAAGACAUUUAUUGCAUAGUCAAACCAUGGAUCCUGAAGAACAAGUCAAUAAGUCAAAUCAAGAUGUGCAUGUGUGGCGAAUGAAUGGUGUAUGGUGAUGAUGGUGAUAACAAUGGUGAAAGUCUAAUUCUACUUGUGCUCUUUUGAGGGAUACAUAUCUUUCUUUCUCUUUUGAAACUUUUUGAGGAGAAUGAGAUGCUCUAUAUUUUUUUUCUUUUCUCUCAAGUGGGUAUCUUGUACCCCUAAUUCUACUAUCGGACACUUGUCCAUUUUUACCUCUCGUCUCAUUUUUUCUUUUCUUUUGAGGUUGGGGGCACUUGCCCAUUUUUAUUUCCUCGUAUCUUCUCAUUUUUUUAGAGUACUCACCUCUUUAAAUAAUGUAGCAAGUGGUAGUAACCAAAAUAUCUUGAGCAUUUAUUUCAUAGGGGAAAACAGAAAUAGGAGAAUGUUUUUCGCUAUUCUCUCCCAGAUUAGGAGUAGAAUAUUUUUGGGUGAAUCUGGAUAUGAAAAUGAGUGGAUGUAUGUGGAUGCGUACUUCCGGAGUAGAAGCAACAUGUGUGAGUCAAUGUGCAAGUGAAUCUUGAUUUAACCACAUGAUAAGCUCCUAAGGGUCUACACAGCUUGACCACACUUAAUGCUCAUAAGCAGUAAAAAGUAAAUGAAUGGUUCAUAGUCUAAUAAGCAUGUAUAUAUGGCUGUGACAGGAAUUUAAACUCUCAUCAUACAGGAACUCAUCAUGUGAUAUUUUAAAGAUUUUCAAAGAUAAAAUUCUCUAGAAUUAUAGCAUCUCUAGGAACAGAUAAACAGCAGCUCAACUUUCCCAUAUCAUAUCCGUUAACAACUUAGACUUUAGAUCAAGUACUCUUCCCACAAGUUCAGGAUUAGAGCAAAUCUUAAUUAAUAAUAGUCAUGCCUAAACUUGAGAGAGAUUUCAAUUUUGGGAACUAGUCAUGGUAGAGAAACUAUUCAUCAUUUCCAUGUGAGAGCUUAUCAUGAGGGUUCAUAGCAAACUUUAUUUAUUUAUUUAUUUAGCAAACUAAGCAAAUAUAUAUAUAUAUAUAAGCACAGAAUCUUUAUUUGGGUUUUUAUAAUUAUGCAUCUUUUUAUUAUUUGAGUAAAGUAUAAACAUGAGUAGAACACUUAGCUGGAUAAAUGCGGGUGCUCUCCCCCAAGCUGGAUUUUGACGUAAUUUCUUCUGAUGUAGCUAGCAGGUGGUGGAGGUGUAUUUGAAUAUCGACAGCACCGUGACAGCGAUUAGGAUGUCCUCCGUCUGCUAGUCUUCUUUGAUCCUUGAAUUUCGUGGAGCUCAAAUAGACAACAAAGCUUUGUGGAACUAGUUAAGUCGUGUUAGCAUAAAUAUCUAGCCUUUAUCAUGUUGAGUCUCCUCAAUAAAUGUUACACUCUUUGGUAGGAUCAUAAAUUUAUUUUUAUAUUUUUAUUUUCAUAGAACAUAAAUAUAUUUAUUUUAUUUUUAUGCCACCACAGUGAAUGUACUUAUGGGUUUUAUGCCAUGAGCAUACUCACAUGGGGCUUACUAUUUUUAACAUUUUUAUUUUCUUUUCAAGAUGAUAUGAACCUGAUUAACUAAGCAAACUAUUUUAAAUACUUGAAAGGAAAAGGAUAACUACCAAGUUUACCUCUUGGUAAGGCGUUCGUUGUUUUUAAGUCCUCCGAACGGGACUCUCUGUUUUCUCAGUCAUCCUGGGAUUCGCUGGAUGGCGUAGUCGGUGGUUCUAGCGGCACCUGCUCUUCGUGUAUAACUAUCUUCUCUCUACACACCUGACUCGGUGCUACGGUCUCCUCAGGACAGUUCUGUUCAAGUUGUAUGUCUUCAGACCUUACCACUUCUCCUUCGUAGUCUGCCCAUCCAUCCUUGAUGAUUUGCCUCCUCUGGUUGCGGUUGCGUCGUCUUCUUCUUGUCCUGACCUGCUUAGAGUCUUCAACUAUAUAGUUAGGGUCAGUAAAAUAAUGGCGUACCUUCUCAGAGAAGUGCAUGUGGACUUCUCCAGUUCCAAUGUAGAUGAUUGCUUUAACAGUGCUGAGGAACGGUCUCCCAAGGAUGAUGGCUGGAUCGUACUCGUCUUCUCCCAUGUCAAUAACCUGAAAAUCUUUCGGAAUGUCUGAUCUGCCAUCUGGAGCUGAAUGUAUGUUGGUUUUUGGGGCAUGGUUCCGAACAGGAGCUGAUAGGUGACUGCGGCCAUUAUGUUGACGCCUGACCCAGUGUCGCAAAGCGUCUUCUGGAAGUUGUAUCCAUUAAUCGAGCACUAGAUGCUUGCAUACAUGGGUCGUCCUUUUUGGUCAGGAACGGUGACUUAAGUCGACAAUCUUGACCUCCUUGAAUUGCAGUGACCAUCUUAGCUGACUCGGUCCACAUUUGCUUGUUCCUGUUCCUUCUGUUGGUCCUCUUCCGUGGUUCAUGUCGGGAUUGCUCUGAGAUUUGUGUAAUCUUGUUCUCGAAGGAAAACAUCACCUUCUUCCCCUUGAUGUAGAAACUGAUCUUGGCAUCACUAGUGUAGAUGACAGCGCCCGAGGUGUUCAGGAAUGGCCUCCCUAGGAUGAUGGGUGCCCUCUCAUCAGUAUCAGUCUCUAUCACCACGAAGUCUGCUGGAGCGUAUAAGGUACCAACUCGGACAUAAAGGUUCUUCAAUAUUUCCUUUGGGAAACUUAGUGCCUGAUCUGCAAGCUGCAUAUAUAGGUUGUUUCUCGUAAAGGAUGUGUAAUGAAUUUUUCAUAGAGUACCCUGGGCAUAAUGUUGACGCUGGAGCCAAAGUCGCAGAGUGCUUCUGGGAAGUCCACCAUGCCGAUGGAGAUCGGGAUGACGGGGCGUCUUGGAUCGCCUCUCUUGAUUUUGUUGAGGACGGUUGUAGGAGUAGUUGUUGUUGUUGUUGGUGUAGUUUACGUCCUCAAGCAUCUUAGGGCAGUGAUUGCCUGAGUGUCCAGUAUCUCCAGUGUGUUUGUGCUCGUAGAUCUAGGUUCUUCACUUGGUGGAGUCUAGGAGUUGUAAAAGUCAUUCAUAUUUUGCUCGAAGUGUACCUUACUUGAAGAGUGAUGGUACAGUAUCACCUUGUGGAAGCUUUCCUUUCUUAGUGGUUGUGCAUCGUGUUUGUAGCACCCUCCAUGGAUCAUCUCUUGUGAGCUAUGCCUUCCUUGUGUAAAUUGUUAACCUUCAUGAGUCUCUCUCUUUGUCUCCAAUGUGAGUUUAUCUCAGGACUUCCCAGGUCGAUAUUGAAAGUUUUCCUGCAGGGGUUAGUCCAACAAAAUAUCAAUAUCUACUAUAGCAUACUAUCGGCUCAAAGAUCAACCUAGACACCAUGUCUAAUUUGAUUUAGGAGGGCAUUUAAACCUAAGCACCAUGUUUAAUUUAAAAUCCCAUGGAAGUAAGAUCAACAUUCCUAACUAAGCACCAUGCUUAAUUAAGAGAUAAAUGAAACUACUCCAAACCUAGACAUAUACUAAAGCAAAUAAAGGUAGCAUGAGAGCAUUUAUAGAGUUGUACUCAAGUUGAGAUGAAGUAGUCUGAUUAGUAUUUAACAAAUUGAGCAUGUCUCAAAGGUAGGGACAACCAACAUAGCAACAUGGCAAAGGAUGUUUUAUGUAAAGUACUCCCCCAAGCUUGAAUUUUGCAAAAUUCAAGUUUGGAUUUAAUUCAAUGUUGUAUGAUGAUUGGUUGGACAUACCUUGUGCUUGUCAUUCAUCCGAUCUUCUUGCUCCAAUCCUGGAAAGGUUAGUGACAAGAAUACCCAAAUGAAUUUUUUUACAAUUAUCCUUAUAUGCUCAAUACACAAGGUAAUGUUGCAAAUAAUUAAAAGCUCAUGUUACGAUCUGAUCAGUGCUUAUUUUAGGACACUAAGCUUGUCCUUGGGAAACCAUCAAUUUAUGUCGGCGAAGUGGUUUCCCCUCCAACGCUGACCUAAUCAAGAUCAACUCAACGAGAUCUGCAAUAUUUAUUAUAGACAUAUGCAUCGACAGCCGCCCUUUUAAAGUUUUUAUAAAUAGAAAGGAAGAGGGGGUUGGAUAUCUCGAAUGUGGUGAUGUUGGAGAGACCAAUGGAUUGUGAAGAUAUUACAUAUGAGCAUGGAGUAAAUGAAGUGGCUAUGAAAUAAACUCCGUGCUCAUUAAUGUUUGGAGUGAAAUCCAUAUGGUAUGGUGAAAAUGGUAAGGUGAAUGUGGUAAAAAAGGAAAAGAAAAAGGAUACACGGACGACUUGGUUCGAAACUAGCACAGCUACCGUUCCCUGGCAACGGCGCCAGAAAGCUUGUUGGGUACAUUAAACGCAAACAAAAAAAUCCGCAAGCGCAUGGAUACCGAUGUAGCUUUCACCCGGGAGUAUUCCAGAGUAUCGAUUUUUCCACAAUGAACGUGAGUGUACUAAUUCAGAUUCAAGAUCGCCUAAGGAUAACUAUAUAAUUAUUUUUGUGGGAAGAGAGGAAGUUUCCUAAGAGUUCUCUAGUUGAUCUAAGAAUCAAGAAUUACUUCAAAGAUUAUUUAUUUCGGGACAUCAGAACACUAACCACAGAAAGAGAUGAGAAGGGGGCUAGGAAGCUCUGACUAUGGUCCUACAAACACCGAUCCGAACGAGGUGGAAUACGUCGACCAUUAGGGUUGUCACUACCCUAGGGCUACCACAACAAUCCGCACGAUUGGGUACAAUUCCAGGUAAUUGCAAGACUAAACACCACGUCUAAUCUAUUAAUUUCUACUCUAGUGUUAUAAAGACUAGAGCACUUGAUGCAAGUAGGAAUCCAAUAAAUAACUUGAAUGUAAAUAAAAGUAAUUAAAUAACUCCGGAAUUAUGAAUUGAAGAACUUGGAGAACGAACCAGUUGCUGCAAAAGUAUAAUGUUGAGGAAGAUCCGACAGAACCUGCUCCUCCUACGCCCUCCUCUUCUCUCUCCCUAUUUUCUAGAUUACAACUAGAACUAACUAGAACUAGAACUAGAGGAACUAGAACUAGAACUAGAUGAACUAGAGGGAUCCUCUCUACUUGGAUGAAGAAUUGAAACCCUAGCUUUGAUUCUGUAGAAGAGGUAUGAUCUCCAGGGGCCAGGGGUCCUUGCUUAUAUAGUCCAGUCAGGUGAAUCUGGGCCGUCGGAUCAAACCGACAUUGAUUGAAUGGUUAUCCUUGAUCCUUUAGGUCGGUGGAGCGUAAUCCGCAAGACGGGUCCUGAUUGGACUCUAACUCAGGGCGGGCGCCCUAGGGGGGAGGGCGGGCGCUCUGUCCCCAGGCCCGAUCGCCUUCCCGUUCGUUCCCGUGGCAUCUAGAGUCUUCUAGAUUAUGGAAAAUUGCGUGGCAUGUUAAUAUCUCUAUGUAAACCCUACAUGUGGGCCUUUCCUCCAUAUUUCCUGAUGACACCCUGUAGAAAUAGACAAACACCAAAACUCGUGGAAUUCUGUCACAUAAAACCCUAAGUCUAGGUGUUGAUUGCAUUUGGAUCCUUUUCCAUGAUUAGUUGACGGUUAAAUGUGAGCAUUAAGGACCGUCAACAUGCAUCAAGUGCUCUAGUCUUUGAAACGCUAGAGUAGUAAUUAAUAGAUUAGACAUGGUGUUUAGUCUUACAUUACUUGGAAUUACACCCAAUCCUGCAGAUUGUUGUGGUAGCCCUAGGGUAGUGACAGCCCUAACGGUCGACGUAUUCCAUCUCAUUUGGAUCGGUGUUUGUAGGACCGAAGUCAGAGCUUCCUAGCCCCCUUCUCAUCUCUUUCUAUGGUUAGUGUUUUGAUGUCCUGAAAUAAAUAAUCUUUGAAGUAAUUCUUGAUUCUUAGAUCAACUAGGGAACUCUCAGGAAACUUCCUCUCUUCCCACCAAAAAUAAUUAUAUAGUUAUCCUUGGGUGAUCUUGAAUCUUAAUUAGUACACUCACGUUCCCUAUGGAAAAUCGAUACUCUGGAAUACUCCUGGGUGAAAGCUACAUCAGUAUCCGUGCGCUUGCGGAUUUUUCUGUUUGCGUUUAAAAUACCCAACACACUACAAGUGGCAAACGGUUUUACCGCAAGCGGACAGUAGUCAAUGCAGCACUUCACCAGGAGUAUUCCAGGUAUCGUAUUUUCCACGGGGAACAAGAAGUGGAUUAACUAGACCAAUUGAGUUGUCAGAUGAUGAUCAAAGGGCUUAGGAUUGGGUGGAGAGGUAUUUCUAGUAUUUAGCUUAUGGCUAAGCUAUCCUAAGUAUACUGAGAGUUAACUCCCUUCCUACUGUGGCCGAUAGGUGAAAAGGGUGUGGCGAAACACUUCCCUAGGCAGCUACCAUGCAGGCCAACUAUUAUUUGCAAGUUGCCUAACAACACACUGAAGAGAACUCCUAAGGUCUAGCAGAGGCCUGUCAUGCUUCGCUGCUGGCGUUCUUCAGGUGCGACAAGAAGUCCACAAGGACAGACUUAGUCUAAACACCACGUCUACACUAAUUCUACUACUCUAGACCCAACUAAGGUUUCAAGCACUUCACAUAAGGCAAAGCAAUGUGCCAGUAGGCCAGUUGUAUACUUAAAAUGAACUAAGAUAGAAAGUAAAUACUGGGAGUACUCAGAUGAAAGACAACUAGAAGGAAGACUUACUAGAAGACAAGCAUCCACUAAGGUGCUCCUGGGAGAAGACUCCCAACAAGCCGAGACUUCUCCUCGGGGAACUCGUCACUCUCUUGCCUCUAUUCUCACACUUAGCUAAGAGUAGCUCUUCCUAAGAUACAUCAUGCUUAACUAGGCUCUCUAAGGGGGUAUUUAUGGGGGAGAGAUGGAGUAGGGGCUACUCCAGUGCCACAUCAGCGAUCCAUGAGCUCCCUCUUCUCCACAGUUGGAUCAAACGGACCUUCCCACUGCCAUAGAUCAAGGGUGGAGGUAUUUCCACACAUGUUUGGCGUGUGGAAGGUCGGUGGAGGCAAACCGACCUUGGGGGCCCACAUGUUAGGGUCAGCCAACCGACCUAUUGCUUCCAUGAGGGCUCCACCAAGCUUCUAGAAGGUGCUGAGGUCGGUGGUAGUGUGGGCCAGGUGGGACCCCACCAAAGGUGGGUCGGCCGACCUACGCUUGGGGGGGUUGGCCCAUCACCUUGCUCCACAUGUUGUCCCCACUUGUCAUCUUCAAUCUUUUGUUGAUUUGUGGUGGUUUUGGUUCUUGAUCAUCUUUGCUUCAUUUGAGCUUGAUUAGGCUUGAUUAGUGGCUGUAUGCACCUGCAUCCAAAUAAUGACAUGUACAUAUAGAACCAAGUGAAUUGUACCUAUGUUACUACUUAGUUGCUUGGUGUUAUCCCCAAAACUUAACCAUUGUUGAUGGUUUUAGUGGUCGAAAACCAUAGUGAAAAUACCAUCAACAGCUAGGCAUGACACUAUACGACACGAUGGCUUAGCCAUGCUAUGCCUGAUAGUGCCACCGUGUCGAUGUUCGGCCCAAGCACGGCCUUAUGGUUGGUUAGCCAUGCCGUGUUGUGCCCAUCAGCACUGCAGCCCAUCGUGCCUCCAUGCCAGCUUGAACAACUGCAAGGCACCAUCGUUGUGGCACAUGAGGCCAUUAUCGUCGCUCAUGAAGGAGCUUGGGGAUGCACCACCACUACCCCCUAUGCAUGUGCAGAUGUGCCCCUACCAAGCGCCACCGCCACCGCAGCGACUCUCCCGGUCAUCAUGUCACUGCAGCAGUACCUCGGGUGAACACCGUGGAGCCAUCACAGCGUCUUGCCAGACUAUCACAUUGUCAUCGUAGACAUGUCUAGAGGGGAGAAGACGCAGGAGUAGGAGAGGGAGUGGCCUGGGACCUAUGACGAUUGGCCUGGCAAGCUAGAGUAGAGGUUUGGUCAUAUUGGAUUGAGACUAUUGGAGGAGCAAGGAAGAGAGAAAUUGUAGCUAGGAGGGAGGAAAAUGAGAGAGAAUGAGGACGGAGGUAGCUUUUAUACCUAGGUUUUCUAUCUAGUGGUACAUUUAGUGGUCAGGAUUGCUAGAAGUUCAUCGAAUGGCUGAAAUUGAUUGGGCCACCAUCGUGCCGCCCUAUUAUCCAUGUCGUGUCUGGGCCGAUAUUACAGGCUAACAUGGCAGGCCCAGGCACGGCACUAUGAUCGGGCCAAGCCAAGCACGAGCACGGUGUGAUGUGGGCCAGACUAUGCCUGGGCCAUGUUUCUUCAUGUCAUGCCUAGGCUGGCCCAUAGUGCCCAUGCCAAAUGGCCAAAUAUAGCACCAGCUCACGCAUUGUCGUCCUUCGAGGAGUUGACCUCAGGGUAGGUGGAUGCUGGUGGCAUGGCGUUGAGGUUAAGAAUUCACCUUAGAUGGUGUCCAGCAAGAUCUGCAUAGGCACUUAGGGAAGUGCUCACAGAAGAGGGUGGUGCAGUCGGUUGCCUCCCUACAAGACAGGGAAGUGCUUGCGGCUGCAUUCCUCAGUCUAUAGGGGAGUGAGGGUGAUACAGUCGCUUGCCUCCCUGGCAUCGGGUUUGAUCCCGAGCAUAGUGGUGGUGGGGCUCUUUGCCUUGAAGACGAUGCGCCUGCCGUCCCAUUCACUGUCCGAGGCAUACUAGACAUGUUGAUCGUACUCUAAGGUGGGAUAGAAGGGCAUACUAUACCAUGGCUCCAUGGGCUCUCCCCCUAAUUAGUCAUGGAUUAGAUGUGCUGAUCGUCAUAUGAGGUGGGUUAGCAGGGCAUGCCAGGGCGUUCCUAGCCCUAGAUAUGGCACCGGAAGUCCCCUAUCUCUGUCUCACCCAUCGAGCGUGUCCAGAGUGUGUGACCAGAAUGUCUCUCUGCCCCUACUAGGGUGGGAGAGGCUCAUUGUUGACGGUCCUUAAGUAUCAAUUUAGUUAUCAAAUAAAUAAAGAAAAGGAUCUAAAUGCAAUCAACAUCUAGACUUAGGGUUUUAUCUGAUAGAAUUCCACGAGUUUUGGUGUUUGUCUAAUUCUGCAGGGCGUUAUCAGGAAAUACAGAAGAAAGGCCCACACGUCAGGAUUACAUAGAGAUAUUAAUGAGCCGCGCAAUUAUCUUACAUCUAGAAGAGUCCAGAAGCCACGGGAACGAACGGGAGACCGGAUGGGCUCGGGGGCAGGGCACCCGCCCUGGCCAGGAGUCCAAUCAGAACUCUCUUUCGGGAUUACGCUCCACCGAACUAAAGGAUCAAGGAUAACCAUUCAAUCAAUGUCAGUUUGAUUCAACAACCCAUAUUCACUUGGAGGGACUAUAAAACUAGACCCCCUGGCCCCUGGAGGAGCUGACCUCUCAACCCUAAUUCAUUAUUCAUCAAGGGAGAAGAAGCCUCUGAUCAAGCCUAGAGCCACCACAUCAAUUAGACAUCUAGAUUAGCAUAGAUACAUAGGAUUAGAACUAGAAGGAGUCAAUCUUUGAUUGGUUUCUGGGUCUGUCAAGAGGAUUCUUGGUAAUUCUCUAAUUGUUCUUCUAAUUGUUCAUUUUUGUUCUUCAAUAUUAUGAAUAUGACUUUGUUCUACUUCAAUAUAUUGCUUAUGACUUUGCUCUACUUGUUUAUAUUCGCAAUUAUAUUGUUCUUAGUUUGUAAUAGUUAUAUACUUGGCUUAGUUAGAUUGGAAUUAUAUACAUGUUUAGGAUCGUAUAGCGUUUAUCCAUCGGAUCCAUGGGUAAAUGAUAGAUAUUGUGUAGGCGUGGUGCGUAUACCGUAUUUAUCUGCGAUUGUACCCUAUAUGCCAGAUCGCGGGGUAGUUCGUGAUAGUGACAACUUCAUUGAUUCUUAUAUAGUCUCCCUUUUGUGUAUAAGGCUGGCAGAGCAACAUUAUUAUAGCGGAGUGAUUGCUAUGUUUCUCAUUUACCUUGAUAAUAUCACUAUGCAUGGGCGUAAUCUUGUCUCACAAUGAUUGCUAAGUAUAAUUGCACUAACUAUGAUAUGCUAGACUGUAUAGUUAAGAAUAACUUAGGAAAUAUUCUUGUAGUUCGUCCUAAUUCCAUGCUAAUGAUUUGCUAGAAUAUCUAAUUGAGGUGCUUAUCAUAUUUAUAUGUGGCUAAGUUAUGCUGAUCAUAUUAAUUAUCUUUGUCACUAUUCAUCACUUUAUAUAUCCUUUAUGUGACACUUAUCUCUGUAUGAAAGAGUUAGAUAAACAUUAUCAAUUAUACAUGCAAUGAUAGAUACUCAAUUCUAUAUUCCAUUCUAUAAUCAACAUUGAUGGUUACUAAUCCCUUCCCAGUGGUAAAAAUAUAAAUAACGAUACGUGGAAUACUUCACGGUUAAAAUGCUACAUCGGUAUUAAUCUGUGCGCUUGCAGAUCCCAUUUGUUAUUUAUUUAUAUGAGCAAUUGCAUAUUUCAAUACCGCGUCUCUUAUGUCAUGCUGGGGAUGACAACUUGGCUUAAGUGGCAUGAGGGAUAGGUUUGGCAUUUUUGGCACUGUUACCAGAAUUAGAAAACUAAGUCUACUUUUGGUAAUGAUGUUAAGAAUACCCAACAAGCAUUUUUGGCACCGUUGCCGGGGAAGGUUGAUUACUAAUAUGUAAUGAAUAUGGAAUUUUGAGUCAUCAUUCGCAUCACUAAUAUGAUUAAGCUUAUCAAUUCUCUUAUACAGUUUUACCCUGAUAUUUUUCUAUUUUAUCUUAUGUAGGGUAAUGUAUGAGUAGAAGACAUCUUCCAGGAAAUUGUGUUGACAAUCCCGAAGCGUUAUUCAGAAAAACAAGGGCCAAGCUCAAGAAGAGAUCAUCAACACUUCAGCACGAAGCUCCAUCCAAUCAAGAAGAUCACCGGAACUUGUCUUCAGAAUUGGAAGUAAUGGCGAACAAAUCGAUCCGUGAGUUCUCAGCUCCCACUACGGACAACAUCCAUACUGGACCUGCUAGAGAGAUUGAUGGCAACUUUGAGCUCAAGCCUGGACUUAUCAACAUGGUGCAAUCCAACCAGUUCUCUGGGAAAGCACAUGAAGACGCUAGUGCUCAUCUCCAACACUUUCUGGAGAUUUGCAGCACAUUUACCAUAUCUGGAGUCCCCAGAGAUGCUAUACUACUUCGCCUCUUCCCAUUCUCACUAUUAGGGAGAGCGAAGCAGUGGUUAUAUGCUACAAAGGAGAAGAAUACUACGUGGGCACUCUGAUCCAUGAACUUUCUGGCUAAGUUCUUUCCCAUGGGCAAGACCAAUGCUCUCCGUGGGAAGAUUACAAGUUUUCAGCAACAGCAUGACGAAUCCGUUCCAGAAGCAUGGGAGCGCUUCCAAGACUACAUCCUAGAAUGUCCCCAUCAUGGAAUGGAGAACUGGCUACUAAUGCAGACAUUUUAUCAUGGACUCGGAAACAGUGCCCGAGAAACCAUGGAUGCUGCAGCUGGAGGAGCAUUCUUAUCACUCACCAUAUCACAAGCCACAGCUCUUGUGGAGAAGAUGGCAUCCAACUAAGGCUGGAAUGAAGAGAGGACCCAGACACGCAAGAAAGGUGGAGGUAUGCAUCAGCUCAAGGAGGUAGACAUGCUGUCUGCAAAGCUAGACCUGCUCAUGAUGAAGCUCAAUGAUAGAGCUGGAGAUAAGAAGGAAGUUAUGCACAUCUACUCUCACAUGACUUGUGAGGAGUGUGGAGAUACUAGACACUCAGGCAAUCACUGCCCUCAGAUGCUUGAGGAUGUGAACUACAUCAACAACAACAACAAUAACUACUACAACCGUCCUCAACAAAAUUAAGGUUGGAAUCAACAGAGGCUAAACUACUCAGUUAAUUAUCAAGGUAACAAUUCUUACAACAAUAAUAAUUUUCAACAUCUGAGAGAGUUAGUGUCUAAUCAAGGAAAGCUAAUGGAUAACCUAUCUAAGAAAUUGGCAUCUAAUGAUAAAAUGCUAGAAAGUAUAAAUAAUAGAAUGGAUAAUUGCUCUACUGCCAUCAAGAAUCAAAUUAGCUUUAAUAAAAUGAUUGAAUCUCAGUUAAAUCAAAUAGCUGCUGCUGUUCCUGCUACUAACCCCAGUAUACCAUCACAAUCGGAAGGAUUAGAAUCUGCAAAUCUUGUAGACAUGUUUGAUGCAGGUAACUACUGGAGUAACCCCGUCACUAAAGUUAAUACUGACCUUCUGCCGGUCAAGAGAGGUGAUCCAGGAUGCCCCGUCAUCCCGAUCUCCAUCGUCAUGGUGGACUUCCUAGAAGCACUCUGCGACUUUGGCUCCAGCGUCAACAUUAUGCCCAGGGUACUCUAUGAAAAAUUCUUUAUAUAUCCUUUAUUAGAAACAACAUCUAGAUUAGCAUAGCUACAUAGGAUUAGAACUAGAAGGAGUCAAUCUUCGAUUGGUUUCCAGAUCUGUUGUUGGUGCAAAAGCUGAUCUGCAAACACAAAGGGCUAAUACCCGAUUCAAACGUUAAGGCGUGCCAGCCGAUUUGACCUUACUAUCGGCAAAGGUGGUAACUCGAACACUUUGGUCCCGACAACAGCGAUGCGCCCGGAUGUCACGGCCAAGAGGUAUUCACGCGGAACUUGAGAACACGCCGAGCUUAAGUCGACGAAUUCCUAAGAACUCGUAAUGAAAAGGAAAAAGUAUGACGAAGUCGUCGAAAGUAGAUGCUGGAAUAUGAGUAAAAACUUGUGUUUGAUUGAUUGAUAGAUGUCUCAUUACAAGGCCCUAGGGUUUAUAUUUAUACCCUGCUCAAAGAGCUACAACCAGACACGACUAGAACUCGAAUUCCAAAUUACACAGAAUCCGUAUACAAAAUGAUUUAAAUAACCAAGGAAAACAUAAAACUAUCCCCCCGUGACAAACUGGAACACCUCCACAAGCCGAUCGGUAGCUUCCAGACUCUCCCUCCAUAUCAUCGGCAGACUCCCUCGUCAUAGUCAUCGGCAGACUUCCUUGUCGUAGCCAUCGGCACAGACACAUCACCACCUAUGGACUUAGUCAUGUUCAACCCCUCCUCCAUCAGCAACCAUCCUCAUCGGUAAAUCAUCCUGUAGAUUAAACACCGCCGUCUUAUCUUGCCGGCCUACACUUUACCAAACAUGUACACGUGCCCAAAAACGGCGUCAACACAUGCCCCCCAAUUUCGGAGUAUGAAAUCAUUAAUGCUGCGAAAUUCUCUGCAGUAAUGAUGCUCUUUUCCGCAAUUAAUGCUCCUAACUUGGUAACCGACAACCUCAAUCUGAACAAGUCUGAUCCUAUUCUUUUGCAGAUUCCUCGAAAUCCUCAACUUCCCAAACGGGCAUUUCGAUUUUAGUCGCACAUCAGCAAUAUUACCGUUACAAAGACUUGCCGAUGGACUGACCAGGACGUUCGUACCUUAUCUUUCCAAACGGCUAUCUCCACUUUAUUAGCUCAUCGGCAAUAUGACCGUUACAAGACGCUGCCGAUGGACCGACCAGGAGAUCCCGCACAGUAAAAUAUCUCUGGAUAAUGACCGCCUCCUGUCAAAUCACCUGCACAAUCCCUUGAUUACCGUGCGAACAGUUACCAUAUCUACCUCAGCACCCUCGGAUUUCACGGAUGCAGCAAAGAGAUAAGUCAGAUUUGCCCUUGCCUGUUUUGUCCUAUAAAUAGUUCCUUCUCGGGUACUCCUUCUCCAUCACAUCAUUCCACAACUCCAACUUCACUUUCCCGGCGGCGGCGCUGUCCAAAGGCUCAAAGAUCUUCGACGAAGUCCCUUCUUCACCACCUCCGAAGCUCUCAAACAUCUUCUCCGUGGUAAAAUGGCCGUCAACUUCAUCGUUCCUGAGGUCAGUCCUUCGCGCCAUCUGUUGUACUUUUCCUCGCACCCCUGUUCAUCCGCAAUCCAUCUUACUGAACAUUUUCUCUCUUUUUUUUGUGUUUUUCUUUUCCAUCUCCAAAACCACUAGGAAUUGGCUAACAAAAUUGUCAUCCCCACCGAUCAACCACACCUCCAAUGCCUUGGCCCGCUAGGGGAUCCAGAUCCAACCAACCUCAUAAACGCAGAAACCAACAGGAUCCCUUUUAGAGUAGAGAAUUUUUCUUUGGAUCUGUGGAAGGAUACUUUUCGUUCCUGGCCCAGCCCUACCGUGGGGUGGAAGGAUUGGUUCUUGAGGGUCAGCAACUCCAAUGAAGUCCAGUGGGGCGAGAGAAAGCUAGACCAAUGCAUUAGGUUGUCCAUUGCCGAUAUGCAUAAGGUUGAAUCACUGUUGAUAGCUGCAUCUUAUUUCUGGUCAGACACCCUCAAUGCCUUUGUCUUUGGCCAUGGCCCUGCUUCCCCUACACUUGCCGAUGUAGCUAUGCUCACUGGCCUGGAUGUAUCUUUUGCCGAUAGCACCCACUUCUUCGAUACCAAACCCAGUGCUAAGGUAGAAACCCGCACCAUCGGCGGCUGGUCGGGGUAUAUCCAAAAAUACCGCAAAACAGGCUCUGUUGACACAAAAGAACAGACCUGCUUCUUGAACAUGUGGCUAGACAAAUUCGUAUUUUGUGGCCGAUCGGCAGGACCAACUUCCGUCUACCUAGCAGCAGCAGAAAAUCUGGCCAAUGGUGGCCGAUUUCCCCUCGGCCGAUACCUGCUUGGGGUAGCCUAUCACCUCCUCCACCAAGUAACCAGGAAGCUCUUACACGGCCAGUCCAUCGGUAACUUGGGAGGCCCUUGGUGGUUCAUCAACAUGUGGCUCAGCCUCCACAUGCACAAGCAUCUGGAGUUCAAUCUCUUUGCACAGUGCUUUCCAAGGGACAUAGCAGAGAACCAUGUGCUGGGUGAAGAAGAAUCGGCAACACGCCCUCCCUUGAACUUCGGUGAAGCUGUCAUAGUUCUGCCUGGCACAGGGGGUAAUCCAGAUCAGGUUAGCCGAUUCUUCCAAACCUUGUACGAAGGUUUGGCCAGAGAUGAGCGAGCAUGGUUAGCUUAUGAUGACCCAGACACCGUGUUUCCUCUUGUUUUCAACCCGUUCGACAAUGCUCUUGACAAGGACAAUGAAGUAAUGAUGGCAUUGGUGACUACCAGAGCCAUACCAGUGAACUUCUUUGGCAGUGGAAAAACCUCUCCCCAGACUCAUGAAUUCUACAAUCCAUCGGCACUAGCUCGUCAGUUAGCUUUCGGCCAGCUGCCGAUUGCACUCUGUUAUGCCGAUGUGAUAAAGCCCAGGGAAACCAUCACCAGCCUCCUUGAAUGGAUUCGAGUAGCCCAGCUGCCAUCAAGUGCCGAUACAGAUGUAGACCUGUCAGAGUGGAUCCCGGCCGCCUUUAUCACUCAGGCAUACAAGCAGUGGUGGGCAGAAUGGAAGGAGCACCUAUUCUGCAAAUCGGCUCUUUCGUAUCGCGGCAUGAUCGAUCCUGAGUACGAAGUUCCCACUGACACUGUAAGUAUCUUUAAACCGAUGUUUCAGUUUUUUUUUCCAUUUUAUUUCCAUCGGUAAUACACUUCUAUGCCAUCUUGCAGGUUGACAACAUCCCUCCAUCGGUCAGCAGGAGUGGCAAGCCGAUUGACUUGUUUGCAUCAGGUCCAAUUUCCUCAAUCGGCCACAACGCUCCUACCCUGGCCGCCAUCGUGCAUCGAGGCAUACGCCUCAAAAAAGUCACCACCAGGAGAACUCAGACAUCACCAUCGGUAGCUGCUUCCACCCUAGCACAGGCUUUUAAGGUAACUGCUAAACCUCAUCACUUAUACCGAUCUUACUUCUAUAUCGACUAUAUUAGUACUGACAAAUUCUCUUUUCUGUAACAGCAAACCAGUGCAUCGGCAAGAACCAAAAGCAAAGGUGCCGAUGCCCCCCAAUCCAGCCAGCAAAAGAGAAAGGGUGCCAAAGGUACUAAAGCACAGGCAAAGCGCCAGAGAGUAGCAACUCCCCCUCCUCCUCCAGCAUCUCCAAUUCCGGCGGAGUCUUCCCCUUCUUCUCCAGAAGUUCAGACGCAACAAGUACCAUCUCCCCCACCAAUGCAAGAAGCACCAUAGGUGGAAGAACCUCAACAAGAAGUACCUCAGCCAGAAGACACAUCGGCUGAUGUACAUGAACCAACUGCCGAUCUAGCAGGUUCCAUCAUAGCAUCAGUGGUCUCUUCCAUCCAGACAAGAACUGCCCUUCCUCAAGGUAACACAUUUUAUUACUGCCGAUGAAUUUAUUCCUUUUCGGUCUUAUAACCCCUUCUGUUAAUUUUCAGCUGACGUAGCUCCAUCGGCAACUCUGGCCGAUCAACCCGUGGCCCCAUCGACAUCUUCCAGUCAGAGGUGAGAGAUUGCCUUGAAACAAGUAAGCUAUCCAAUCUCCAUCCAUAUUAUUUACCGAUGCUCUGACCAUGGAAUGACCCACUUUGUCCUCCUUUUCAGGAACAGGACUCUCCUGACAGCCUAUUCUCCUUCGCCAUUGAUAUCUCCGAAGACGAAGGUGAGGAAGCAAGUUCCUCCCAGGCAGUUGGAAUCACAUCAGCAGAGAUCAGGGCCAAGCUAGAAGAACUGUCAGCUCUCCUUCAUCAAGACACAGCUCAACUGGUCGAUGAUUCUGACCCAGCCAACGUUCUGUUCAAGGCCCUCAGAGGCCAGAUUCCUGCCGAUACCGAGGAAACCCUCUUCCAGGCCGCACAUCUGGAGAGUCGUCAGCUGCAGUACCAGAGGGCCGCCCGGCGCCUUGCCGAUAGAGCUGCUCAGACCCGGCUUUCUGAGGAGAUGAUGAAAGAGAAGCUCCUGACCGAUGAGAAGCACAAGACCAUCGGUACCUUGAAGUCAUCUGGCGAAGCAUUGAAACAGAAGAUCUCUGAUUUAUCGGCAAAAAGAGAAGCCCUGCUGGCAGAACUCAAGCAAGUGGAGGACGCUCUAUCCCAAGCCCAACAGGAAGAAAACCAACUGCCAGAGACCAUCAAACUCCUCGAGCAAGAGCGAAAUGCCCAUGGUCGCAAAGCACUGCAGUUGAAGAAGAAAUUGAAGCCGAUAGAAGGCUCUGCCGAUGAAGACAUCAAAGAAAUAGAAGCAGCCGACCAGAUCCGCCUACGCGCUAUAUCAACCAUCCAAGCGCUGCUAAGCAUGUGAGCUCUUCAUCGGCAACAAACUUGCCUCUUCCUGCUCUUCAGCUUUCUUGAUGUUUAGUCUAGCCGAUAGGACUGUUAUCGGCAUCCUUUUGAAACAUUAAGUCCGGCCCCAGAUACAUUUUAAUCCAGCCGAUAGGAGUCUUAUCGGCAUUUAAACUUUUAUGCAUCGACCCAUAUGCUGGGGUAGUACUUUUUUAAAUAUUUGUCAUUUAACGCUCUGGGAAAUUCAACUCCUUCGAGAGUUUCUAAAAUGUAGGCAUUACCAAGAGCCGAUCGUCUUAUCCGAUAGGGACCCUCCCAAUUGGGAGACCAUUUUCCAAACUUCGAACUUUUAGUCCCGAUCGGUAAAAUUAAUUUCCAUACCAAGUCUCCAUUGGCAAACUCCUUAGCCUUCACUUUCUUAUCAUACCAUCUAGCAACUCUUUUCUUAUUCUCUUCUAUACUCAUCAAGGCUCUCAGCCGAUGCCCUGCUAGAUUAUCCAACUCGUCUGUCAUCAAAGUAGCAUAAUCAUCGGCAGCCAACUUGUCUUGAAAAGAUAAUCGCCUAGACCCAGCCUUAAUCUCCCAAGGUAAUACUACAUCAUGCCCAUACACCAACUGAUAGGGUGAGACCUUGGUCGAUCCAUGACAAGCCAUCCGGUAUGACCAUAAAGCCUCAUUUAACAAUGUAUGCCACCUUCUAGGAUUUUCUUCAAUCUUCCGUUUAAUAAGCUUAAUAAUUCCUUUGUUAGACACCUCGGCCUGCCCAUUGGCUUGAGCAUAGUAAGGAGAAGAAUUCAAUACUUUAAUCCCCAUACCGAUUGCGAAUUCAUCGAACUCCCCUGAUGUAAACAUAGUACCCUGAUCGGUAGUAAUUGUUUGUGGAAUUCCAAAUCGGUAAAUGAUAUGCUCCUUCACAAAAUCAAUCAUACUGGCCGAUGUGACUUUCUUCAAAGGAAUAGCUUCAACCCAUUUAGUGAAAUAAUCGGUGGCAACUAGAAUAAACUUAUGCCCUUUGCUAGAUGGUGGAUAAAUAUGGCCGAUCAAAUCAAUAGCCCAUCCUCGGAACGGCCAUGGCUUUAUAAUAGGAUUCAUAGCCGAUGCAGGUGCCCUUUGAAUAUUACCAAACUUUUGACAUCCUUGACACCCUUUGAAAUAUUUAAAGCAAUCUUCAAGUAUAGUCGGCCAAUAAUAUCCAUUCCUCCUAAUCAUCCACUUCAUCUUGAAAGCCGACUGAUGCGCUCCACAUACCCCUUCAUGGAUUUCUCCCAUCAAACUCUUAGUUGGUUGCUUGAAACCGAACUCGUCUUUCAACUUUCUUAGAUGGAUCUUUCAAAUAAUCAAUGAUUUCUUUUCUCCAAUCAUCGGCACCAAUUGCCGACAUCGUAUUGAUCAUAGGCUGAUAUCCCGAAGCAUGCUGAGCCAACCGAUUUGCUUCUUCAUUAUGCAAUCGAGGAACAUACUCUAAUCAGAAGUCUUUGAAUUCCUUUAACAGUUGCAUACUCCUUUCAUAAUAAGUUAUGAGAACUUCACUUCGGCAUUCAUAGCUCCCAGCCAAUUGAUUUAUAACUAGCAUAGAAUCUCCGAAGACCUCAACAGCAUCAGCAUGAACUUCUCUCAACAACUCUAAUCCCUUUAUUAAAGCUUGAUACUCAGCCUGAUUAUUUGUUGACGUGGCAACAAUCGGCAAGGAAAACUCAUAUUUCCUUCCCCGAGGGGAAACUAGUACUAUGCCGAUUCCUGCCCCUCGGGCACAUGUGGAUCCAUCAAAGAAAAGCGUCCAAGGCACAAUUUCCAAAGCCUCCACUGUUCCGCAAUGCUGAGUCACAAAAUCGGCCAUAAUUUGUCCCUUAACUGGCUUAGCCGAUUCAUAACGCAGAUCGAACUCUGACAGCGCCAAAAUCCAUUUACCUAUCCUGCCGCUCAUAAUCGGCAUGGACAGCAUAUACCGGACCACAUCAUCUUUGCAAAUAACAGUGCAUUCGGCCGAUAACAAGUAAUGCCUUAACUUGAUACAAGAGAAAUAUAAGCAUAGGCAUAGUUUCUCAAUAGCCGAAUACCUGGUUUCAGCAUCAAUCAACCUCCUGCUUAAGUAAUAAAUUACAUGUUCCUUCCCUUCAAAUUCUUGAAUUAAAGCCGAACCGAUGACCGUCUCAUCGGUAGACAAAUACAAUCUGAAGGGCUUUCCUUGCUGAGGUGGAAUUAGAACUGGAGGAUUCACUAAAUACUUCUUGAUUUCAUCCAGAGCCAACUGCUGUUCCUUCCCCCAAAUAAAUUCUUGAUCGGCUUUUAACUUAAGAAGAGGACAGUCAUAACCGUUACACUGAGGACAAUAUCUGAUAGUUGGAAGCUUGAUAUUCUCCUCCCAGCAAUGGAUGAAGAACGGACAAUUCCAGUGAUCCCUAUGCCGAUUCCACUCCUGUCGGCGUCUUUCUUCUUCCCGACGAUAAUCUUCCUGCUGGCGCCGAUAUCGGUCCUCACGUUGCUGCCAAGUUUCCCGAGGUCUUCUGUGAGUUAUAACGAUACCAGAUCGGGGAGGCCUUCCUGAGCUGGUUCCUUCCUGGACCAAGCCCCUUCCUCUCGCAUCGGCAGUAGUGACUUGAUGCUGAGGAUCCACCGAUGCACUUCUUUCGGCUGCUUCUGAUGUUAAGAAAUUGGCCUUUCCCUUAGCAUCCAACAUGUUCGUUCGGAAAGGAUGUUGAUCAAUCUUCAUCGGCUUCUGGGUCUUGGAACUAUCAAAUUUGAUUCUUCCAGACUCUAUAGCCGAUUGCAGCUGUUGUCUGAAAACCUUGCACUCAUUGGUGUCGUGAGAAGUUGCAUUGUGCCACUUGCAAUAUUUCAUCCUCUUUAACUCCUCAGCCGAUGGGAUCACGUGAUUAGGAGACAGCUUGAUCUGACCUUCCUGAAGUAGAAAGUCAAAUAUCGUAUCGGCCUUAGCGGUGUCAAACGCGAACUUCUCUGGUUCUUUAUGUCCAAAAGGACAAGACAUCGGCUUCUUAUUUUUUACCCACUCUGCCAAGCCGAUGACUGGUUCCUCAUCAGAGUCUGAGCUUGUUGCUUCAUCAACGAACGAUACCUUUUUGUUCCAUGCUCUCUUGGGCUCAAAAAGCUUGAUAUCUUGAUCGGAAAUUCUCUGCACCAAAUGACUUAAGCUUUCAAAUUCCUGAGAGGCGUACUUGUCCCUGAUGUGUGGCAACAAACCCUGAAAAGCCAAGUCGGCUAGCUGCCGAUCAUCCAGAACCAGACUAUAGCACUUGUUCUUGACCUCUCGUAUCCUCUGCACAAAACCUUCAACCGAUUCAUCAUUGCGCUGCCUUAAUUUGACCAAAUCGGUGGUCUUCUUCUCAUGAACCCCAGAAAAGAAGUAUUUGUGGAAUUGUUUCUCCAGAUCGGCCCAAGUAAUCACUGAGUUGGGAGGUAGCGAUAUAAACCAAGUAAAGCCCAAUCCAGACAAUGAUGAUGAGAAUAGACGAACUCUUAACUCGUCCCUGUUACCAGCUUCACCGCAUUGAAUAAUGAACCUGUUGACAUGCUCCAUGGUUGACGUGUCAUCCUGCCCAGAAAACUUGGUAAAAUCCAGUAUCUUGUACCGAUGUGGAAGCGGGAUCAAAUCAUAUGCGGGAGGAUACGGUGUCCGAUAAGAGUAAGUGUUGACUUUGGGUUUUAUCCCGAAUUGGUCUCUCAUUACUUCAGCAAUCUUAUCGGCCCAAUAGGCAUCGGCAUCUUGCCGAUGAGGUGGUUGCGGAUCUGGCACCUGCUGGUAAGCUUCCACGUGUCGGUGUGGUGCACGAUCUGCAUGAAACAUCGGGUUAAUCAUCUGACCCCCAAUCUGUGGACCACCAAGCUGUUGCGCGCCAAUCUGUUGUCCGCCGACCUGCUGCCCAAGAUUCAUUGGCUGGUUGGGAAUCCCCUGAUUCUAGAAUCCAGGAUAGAUCUGGCCUUGUUGGAACCCUGUAGCCUGAUGAUUCUGUUGGGGUGUUUGUGGAAAGACUUGCUGCCCAAGCCAUCCAUUAUUAGUGUUCAUCGGCAUAGGCCCUGCCUAUGACUGGUAAUUGGGCAUGAUCAUUGAACUGACAUACCCUGGCUGAGUCAUAAACCUCUGUUGCAUCAGCAUUGAAUCUGCCGAUGCGUUAGGCAUUUGGAACGUUGGAGCUUGAGAGUUCCCAGUGUAAGGUCUUGCAGUAGUAGUUGUAGUAUACCGAGGACUUUGAUUCAUCGGCAUGUUGGGAGGUGCCGAUGCCAUAGGAGUCUUGCCUCUCAUGUCUGUUGUCUGCGACGUACCCGGCGUUAACUCUGGAGGCAUACCAUAACCCCACCAGUUAGGAGGAGGAGUCAAUCCUGACAUUGCUGAUGCCAACAGAUCUGUAGCGAGUUUAAUCAGCCCAUCUGAAGUCUGUGGAUUAGUCAUCAUCGGCGUACAUUGUGUGUUGGUGACCCCUAACAUACUUGGAGGAACGGUAGUUUGUGCACUUGCAGCGGCUGUAGAAGCCGAUGGAGCUGUGACCACCGGUGACCCCGGCUGGUGAUAAGAGGGGCCCACAUAAUCUGGUGGCAAUUGUCCUUCCUUGAAAGUUCUUGCCACGGCAUUGAAAACCGUACACCAGCUUGGUUGAUCAAAGCACGGUUGAUAGCACUAUCAACCAUCUCUUGAAGUUUACCAGGAUUCGCUUCAAAAGUAACCUGCCGUGGUGUUGGCAGUGCAUCCUUCUGGAUUACCUCACCACUCCUGUUCAUGCUGAAGGACCUCAAACAUUGCUGCUUGUAAUCCUCCAUGGCUUUGGCAAUAGCUUGCUUCUGCUCAUCCUUGAGAUUGGCUUCCGUCACGGGGAUGACGUUCUCCUGAUCGAACUCAGAGGUCGACAUGUUGAUCUUGGUCUUGAAUCGGUCCCACUGGGCGUGCCAAAAGAUGUGUUGGUGCAAAAGCUGAUCUGCAAACACAAAGGGCUAAUACCCGAUUCAAACGUUAAGGCGUGCCAGCCGAUUUGACCUUACUAUCGGCAAAGGUGGUAACUCAAACACUUUGGUCCCGACAACAGCGAUGCGCCUGGAUGUCACGGCCAAGAGGUAUUCACGCAGAACUUGAGAACACGCCGAGCUUAAGUCGACGAAUUCCUAAGAACUCGUAAUGAAAAGGAAAAAGUAUGACGAAGUCGUCGAAAGUAGAUGCUGGAAUAUGAGUAAAAACUUGUGUUUGAUUGAUUGAUAGAUGUCUCAUUACAAGGCCCUAGGGUUUAUAUUUAUAUCCUGCUCAAAGAGCUACAACCAGACACGACUAGAACUCGAAUUCCAAAUUACACAGAAUCCGUAUACAAAACGAUUUAAAUAACUAAGGAAAACAUAAAACUAUCCCCCCGUGACAAACUGGAACACCUCCACAAGCCGAUCGGCAGCUUCCAGACUCUCCCUCCAUAUCAUCGGCAAACUCCCUCGUCAUAGUCAUCGGCGGACUUCCUUGUCGUAGCCAUCGGCACAGACACAUCACCACCUAUGGACUUAGUCAUGUUCAACCCCUCCUCCAUCGGCAACCAUCCUCAUCGGCAACUCAUCCUGUAGAGUAAACACCGCCAUCUUAUCUUGCCGGCCUAUACUUUACCAAACAUGUACACGUGCCCAUAAAUGGCGUCAACAUCUGUCAAGAGGAUUCUUGGUAAUUCUCUAAUUGUUCUUCUAAUUGUUCAUCUUUGUUCUUCAAUAUUAUGAAUAUGACUUUGUUCUACUUCAAUAUAUUGCUUAUGUCUUUGCUCUACUUGUUUAUAUUCGCAAUUAUAUUGUUCUUAGUUUAUCAUAGUUAUAUACUUGGCUUAGUUACAUUGAAAUUAUAUACAUGUUUAGGAUCGUAUAGCGUUUAUCCAUCGGAUCCAUGGGUAAGUGAUAGAUAUUGUGUAUGCGUGGUGCUUAUACCGUAUUUAUCUACGACUGUACCCUAUAUGCCAGAUCGCGGAGUAGUUCGUGAUAGUGACAGCUUCAUUGAUUCUUAUAUAGUCCCCCUCUUGUGUAUAGGGCUGGCAGAGCAACAUUAUUACAGGGGAGUGAUUGCUAUGUUUCUCAUUUACCUUGAUAAUAUCACUAUGCAUGGGCGUAAUCUUGUCUCACAAUGAUUGCUAAGUAUAAUUGCACUAACUAUGAUAUGCUAGACUGUAUAGUUAAGAAUAACUUAGGAAAUAUUCUUGUAGUUCAUCCUAAUUCCAUGCUAAUGAUUUGCUAGAAUAUCUAAUUGAGGUGCUUAUCAUAUUUAUAUGUGGCUAAGUUAUGCUGAUCAUAUUAAUUAUCUUUGUCACUAUUCAUCACUUUAUAUAUCCUUUAUGUGACACUUAUCCCUGUAUUUAAGAGUUAGAUAAACGUUAUAAUGGUUCUGUCCAAGCGUGCCAUAUGUCUAGUGUGUGGAGGUGACUGUUGACACAUCUUGGCGCAAUCACCAAAGAUAGACAAAAAGCCUAGUCCCCGGCAAUGGCACUAGAAAAUUUGUUGGGUAUUUUAAACACACAAAGAAAAAUCCAGAAGCACACGGAUACCGAUGUAACUUUCAUUCCAUGGGGAACAUAAAGUGUACUAGAGAAUCAAGGGCGUUCAAGGAUAAAGAAAAGAGAAGAAAUAUAUAUUUUUGGUGGGUGGAGAGGAACCUUCUAAAGUUUUCUAAGUUGAGUGUGUGAUCAAAAUUAGGCUUACUACACUGUACUUUCUAUGGAGCAACAAUAUCUUUCUAACUCUUGAAAGAGACUAGGAAGAAAAUAGUCGAGGGAAGGCUGCCAAAAAGCUCUACGAAACACCAACCCGAACAUGGUGGAAUACAAAGGCCUGAUAGAUCUGUCAUCUGUCGGGCUCCCACAACUAACCGUGGGAUUGGGCGCAAACUCAAGUAAACCCUAGUCUAGACACCAUGUCUACACUAGCAUUUACUACUCUAAUUACCUUGAGAAUAACUAGAGCACUCAAUACGAGCGGAGAUCUAGUAAAUAUAAUAAAGCAAUAAUUAAAUAAAAAACUGAACUUAGAAAUAAUAAUUAAAGAACCUGGAGAUUGCUGAGUGACGAACCAGAUGCUGCAAAAGUAUAAUAUUGAGGAAGAUCUGACAGAUCUGGCUCCUCCUUAGCUCUAUCCUCCUCUCCCUUUACAACUUGAUGAACUAGACGAAGAACAAGAAUAACUAGAUGAACUAGAUCUAGAACUAGAUCUAGAACUAGAUGAAAUAGACUACAACUAGAUGAACUAGAAGAGAUUCAUCUAGAGGGACCUCUACUUCUACUUAGAUGGAGAGUUGAAACCCUAGCUUUUGCUCUGUAGAAGAGAUAUGGUGGAAACCCUAGGUGGCCUGGACAUAUAGUCCUCUAGGAAGCACCACAACCCUUGGAUCAAACUGACCUAAAUAGGUGGUCAAGAUUACUCCUCAAGGUAGGUGGAGGCAGGAUCCGCGAGACUCCCCCUAAUUGGUCCUGUUGACACUGUUUUUUGACACGUAUCCAGACAGAUAGUGGAGCCUAGAUCGGUAGGUGAAAAAGUGAUGUCUAGUUGACAGAGGAGUUACCGAUGGGUUAUGAUGCCGAUGAUAGAGCAGCAGAAUAUGACCAAGUUCAGGUAUAAUGAUUGGUCUAUGCCGAUGGCUGAUGUUAAUAGUUGCCGAUGCCGAUGGAAGAUGAUGUGCCGAUGAUAGUGAAGGAGGGUGUAGGAAUCGUCAAAGGAAAUGGUGGUAGCAUGCCGAUUGCCUAGGAUAGAUAAAUUAAUGAUUUCCAUAGUUAUUAGAGUUUGUUUUGUAUACGGAUUCUGUUUGGUUUGGAAAUAGAGUUCUAAGUCGUACCUGGUUGUAACUCUUUAGGACAGGGUAUAAAUAUAGACCUAGUAGCGAUGUAAGAAGGAUAUAACACAAUCAAUCAAACACAAGUUUUUAUAUCUAUUCCAGCAUCUACUUUUCGACGACUUCGUCAAAUCGCAUAUUUUACUUUUACUUACGAGUUCUUAGGAAUUCAUCGAGUCAAACUCGACGAGUUCUCAAGUUCCGUGUGAAUACCUCUUGGCUGUGGCAUCCGGGUGCAUUGCUCUUGUCGGGACCAAAGUAUUCGAGUUAUCACCUUUGUCUAUUGUAAGGUCUAAUCGGCUAGCACGCCUUAACAUUGAAUCGGGUAUUAGCCCUUUGUGUUUGCAGAUCUACUUUUACAUCAACACAUCUUUUGGCAUGCCUAGUGGGACAAAUUCAGAAUCAUCAUCAAGAUCAACAUGUCGAAUGCUGAUUUCAAUACAGAGAACAUCAUUGCCGUAACUGAAGCCAACCUCAGAGAUGAGCAGAAGCAAGCUAUGGAAAAAGCUAUGGAGGAGUACAAGCAGCUAUGUUUGAAGUCCUUCAGUGUCAACAGGAGUAGCGAGGUGAUCCAAAAGGAAGCAUUGCCGAUGCCUCGGCAAAUCACUUUUGAAGCCAAUCCUAGUAAAUUGCAAGAGAUGGUUGACAGUGCUAUCAAUCGUGCUUUGAUUAAUCAAUCCAGUGUGCAAUCCAAUACAAUUUUCAAUGCUGUAGCUAGAACUUUCAAAGAAGGAUAGGUGCCACCAUCAUAUGUGGGCCCUGCUUAUCAUCAUACAGGAUCAUCAUCGGUCACCGCUCCAUCGGCCCCUCUGGCCGUUGCGAGUACAGAAGUUACCUCUCCUCCAAUUACAUUAGGGAUGACUAAUGGACAAUCUACACCAAUGAGGACUAAUCUAGCAAUAUGAGAGGGGUAAGUUCAACUUGCUAUAGAUCUAUUGGCAUUGGCAAUGUCAGGAUCUGUAUUCUAGAAUUGUCAAGUUCCUCCCAACUGGUGGGGAUAUGGUAUGCCUCCAGACUUUUUAGCAAAUAGUUCUGGAACAUCUCAAGUGGCUGACACGACAGGCAAGGCUCCUAUGACAUCGGCACCUCCGGUAUCACUGAUGACUCAGAAUCCUCAAUAUUCUACAACCACUACUGCGAGGCCUCUUACUGGAAACUUUCAGAUGCUAGCAUUCCAGAUGCCUAACGCAUCGGCGGAUCCACUGCCUACGCACCAGAGGUUUAUGACUCAGACAGGGUAUAUCAGCCCAAUGAUGACACCCAACUAUCAGCCAUCGGCAGGGCCUAUGCCGAUGAAUGUUAAUAAUGGAUGGACAGGGCAAUUUGUCUUCCCAUAGAUAGCUCAGCAGAAUCAUGAGGCUGUGGGAUUAUAGCAGGGACAGAUGCAGCCUGGAUUUCAGAAUCAAGGGUCGGUCAAUCAGCCGAUGAAUCUUGCUCAGCAGUUUGGUGGCCAACAGGCUCUGGCUAAUGCUAUGUUCCCUGGAGAUCGUGUACCUCAGAGACACGUGGAAGCUCAUCAGCAGAUGCCAGAUCCACAACCCGCACAUCGGCAGGAUGCCGAUGCUUAUUGGGCCGAUAAGAUAGCCGAAGUUAUGAGAGACCAAUUCGGGAUAAAACCGAAGGUCAAUACUUACUCUUAUCGGACACCAUAUCCUACUGCAUAUGAUUUGAUUCCACUACCAAAUCGGUACAAAGUGCCAGAUUUCACUAAAUUAUCUGGACAAGACGACACGUCGACUAUGGAACAUGUCAAUCGGUUCAUCAUCCAGUGUGGGGAAGCUGCUAACAGAGACGAAUUGAGAGUUUGAUUGUUUUCAUCAUCUCUCUCGGGAUCGGCAUUUAACUGGUUUAUUUCGUUACCUCCAAAUUCGGUAAUCACUUGGGCCGAUCUAGAGAAGCAGUUCCACAAGUAUUUCUUUUCUGGAGUUCAUGAGAAGAAACUUACAUUUAGUAAGGCUGAGGCAACGCAAUGAUGAAUCGGUUGAAAGUUUUGUGCAAAGGUUGCGGGAUGUUAAGAAUAAAUGCUAUAGUUUGGUUCUGGAUGAUCGGCAACUAGCCAAUUUAGCUUUCCAAGGAUUGUUGCCACACAUCAAGGACAAAUAUGCUUCCUAAGAGUUUGAAAGUCUGAGUCACUUUGUGCAUAGGAUUUCUGAUCAAGAUGUCAAUGCUUUUGAGCCUAGGAAAGCUUGGAACAAAAAAGUGACAUUUGUUCAUGAGGCAACAAGUUCAGAUUCGGAUUGAGAACCAGUCUUCGGCUUGGCAGAAUGGGUGAAGAAUAAAAAGUCGAUGUCUUGUCCUUUCGGCCAUAAAGAGCCAAAGAAGUUUGCGUUUGACAUCACAAAAGCUGAUAGGAUAUUUGACUUUUUGCUUCAGGAGGGGCAAAUCAAAUUGUCACCCAACCAUGUGAUUCCAUCGGCAGAAGAGUUAAAGAAGAUCAAAUAUUGCAAGUGGCACAACGCAACGUCUCAUAAUAUAAAUGAAUGUGUUGACACCGUUUUUGACACGUGUCUUUGGAUACGCGCCUGGGGUUAAUAAAGUGUAGAUCGGCAGGUGAGGAAAUGAUGACUACAGGAGAAUUGCCGAUGAAGGUUGGUGCCGAUGGAAAAACGACCGAAUAUGACCAAGUCCAAGAGUGGUGGUGCACUCGUGCCGAUGACCAGCGCUGAUGGUUGUCGAUGGCUGUGAAGGGCGAUCUGCCAAUGCUGAUGAAGGAAAGCGCAGGGGUUGCCGAUUGACUCGCGAUGGUGUGCCGAUCGGUGGUGGAGGAUAAUUUAAUGUUUUCCUUAGUUAUUAGAGUUCGUUUUGUAUGCGGAUUCCGUUUAAUUUGGAAUUUGAGUUAUAGUCGUAUCUGGUUGUAGUUCUUCUAAAUAGGGUAUAAAUGUAGACCCCGUGGCAAUGUAAUGAGACAUCUAUCAAUCAAUCAAACACAAGUUUUUAUACAUAUUCUAGCAUCUACUUUUUCGAUGACUUCGUCAUAUUUCCUUUUUACUACCAGUUCUUAGGAAUUUGUCGAGUCAAACUUGGCGCGUUCUCAAGUUCCGUGUGAGCACCUCUUGGCCGUGACAUCCGGGUGCAUCGCUGUUGUUGGGACCAAAGUGUUCGAGUUACCACCUUUGUCGAUUAUAAGGUCAAAUCGGCUGGCACGCCUUAACGUUUGAAUCAGGUAUUAGCCCUUUGUGUUUGCAGAUCAGCUUUUGCACCAACACAUCUUUUGGCACGCCUGGUGGGACAGAGAUUCAAGAUCAAGAUCAACAUGUCGAAUACCGAUUUCGACUUGGAGAACAUCAUCCCCGUGACGGAAGCCAAUCUCAGAGAUGAGCAGAAGCAAGCUAUGGCGAAAGCCAUGGAGGACUACAAGCAGCUAUGCUUGAAAUCCUUCAGCAUCAACAAGAGUGGCGAGGUGAUCCAAAAGGAAGCAUUGCCGGCACCUCGGCAAAUAACUUUUGAAGCCAAUCCUGGUAAAUUGCAAGAGAUGGUUGAUAGUGUUGUCAACCGUGCUCUGAUCAAUCAAUCUGGUGUAUUGUCCAAUACAGUUUACAAUGCUGUGGCUAGAACUUUCAAAGAAGGACAAGUACCGCCAUCUUAUGUGGGUCCUGCCUAUCAUCAGCCGGGGUCAUCGGUGGUUACUGCUCCAUCGGCUACUACGACCAUUGUGGGUGCAGAAGUUACUUCCCCUCCAAGCACAUUGGGGAUGACCAAUGCACCAUCCACACCGAUGGCGACUAAUCCGUCAGCAUCAGAAGGACAAAUCAAACUGGCUACAGAUCUAUUGGCAUCGACAAUGUCAGGGUCUGUUCCUCCCAACUGGUGGGGUUAUGGUAUGCCCCCAGAGUUGAUGGCAAAAGGUCUUGGGACAUCUUAAGUGGCUGACGUGACAGGCAAGGCUCCUAUGGCAUCGGCACCCCAAGCUCGCCGAUGACCCAGAAUCCCUAGUAUUCUACAACUACUAAUGCAAGACCUUUGACUGGGAAUUCUCAAGCACCAACGUUCCAGAUGCCUAAUGCAUCGGCAGAUCCAAUGCCGACGCAACAAAGGUUUAUGACACAGCCAGGGUAUGUCAAUUCAAUGAUGAUGCCCAAUUACCAGUCAUCGGCAGGACCUACGCUGAUUAAUGUUAAUAAUGGAUGGACAGGUCGGUUUGUUUUUCCACAAAUGCCUCAACAGAAUCAUCAGGCUGUAAGGUUUCAACAAGGACCAGUCCAACCUGGGUUUUAGAAUUAAGGGUUGAUCAACCAGCCGAUGAAUCAUGGCCAGCAAUUUGGUGGUCAGCAGGCGAUGGCUAAUCCAAUGUUCCAUGGAGAUCGUGCACCUCAGAGACACGUGGAAGCUUAUCAGCAGGUGCCAGAUCCACAACCACCUCAUCGGUAGGAUGCCGAUGCUUAUUGGGCCGAUAAGAUAGCUGAGGUGAUGAGAGACCAAUUUGGGAUAAAACCCAAGGUCAAUACUUACUCUUAUCGGACACCGUAUCCUCCUGCGUAUGACUUGAUUCCACUUCCAAAUCGGUACAAGGUGCCAGAUUUCACCAAGUUUUUUGGGUAGUAUGAUACAUCAACCAUGGAGCAUGUUAACAGGUUCAUCAUCCAGUGUGGAGAAGCUGCUAACAGAGAUGAGUUAAGGGUUCGCUUGUUCUCAUCAUCUUUGUCUGGAUCGGCCUUUACUUGGUUUAUUUCAUUACCUCCUAAUUCAGUGAUUACCUGGGCCGAUCUGGAGAAACAAUUCCAUAAAUACUUAUUUUCUAGAGUUUAUGAGAAGAAGAUUACCGAUUUAGUAAGGCUACAGCAACGCAAUGAUGAAUCGGUUGAAAGUUUUGUGCAAAGGUUGCGAGAGGUUAAAAAUAAGUGCUAUAGUCUGGUUGUGGACGAUCAGCAGCUAGCUGAUUUGGCUUUCUAGGGGUUAUUGCCACAUAUUAGAGACAAGUAUGCUUCUCAAGAGUUUGAGAGUCUAAGUCAUUUGGUGUAGAGGAUCUCUAACCAAGAUAUUAAACCUUUGGAACCCAAGAGGGCAUGGAAUAAAAAGGUGUCAUUUGUCGAUGAGGAAGCAAGCUCAGAUUCUGAUGAAGAACCAGUCAUCGGCUUGGCAGAAUGGGUGAAGAAUAAGAAGCCGAUGUCUUGCCCUUUUGGGCACAAAGAACCAGAAAAGUUUGCAUUUGAUAUCACCAAAGCUGAUAGGAUAUUUGACUUUCUACUUCAAGAAGGGCAAAUUAAGUUGUCACCUAAUCAUGUGAUUCCAUCGACAGAGGAAUUGAAGAAGAUGAAAUACUGCAAGUGGCAUAAUGCAACAUCUCACAGCACAAAUGAGUGCAAGGUUUUUAGGCAACAGCUGCAAUCGGCUAUAGAAUCUGGGAGAAUUAAAUCUGACAGUUCCAAAGCUCAGAAACCGAUGAAGAUCGAUCAGCAUCCUUUCCCUACAAAUAUGUUGGUGUUGACGGUCCUUAAGUAUCAAAUUUAAUUAUCAAAUAAACAAAGAAAAGGAUCCAAAUGAAAUCAACAUCCAGACUUAGGGUUUUAUGUGACAGAAUUCCCCGAGUUUUGGUGUUUGUCUAUUUCUGUAGGGGGUUAUCAGGAAAUACGGAAGAAAGGCCCACACGUCGGGAUUACAUAGAGAUAUUAACGUACCGUACAAUUAUCUUACAUCUAGAAGACUCCAGAAGCCACGGGAACGAAGCAGAAGCAGAACGGGGCCUGGCCCAGGGCGCCCGCCCUGGAGAACAGGGCGCCCGCCACCUGCUGGAGUCCAAUCUGGACUCUCUUUCGGGAUUACGCUCCACCGACCUAAAGGAUGAAGUAUAACCGUUCAAUCAAUGUCGGUUUGAUCCGACGGCCCAUAUCCACUUGGAGGGACUAUAAAACCAGACCCCCUGGCCCCUGGAGGACAGGACCUCUCGACCCUAAUUCAUUAUUCAUCAAGGGAGAAGAAGCCUCUGAUCAAUCCUAGAGCCACCACAUCAAUUAGACAUCUAGAUUAGCAUAGCUACAUAGGAUUAGAACUAGAAGGAGUCAAUCUUCGAUUGGUUUCCAGAUCUAUCAAGAGGAUUCUUGGUAAUUCUCUAUUGUUCUUCAAUUGUUCAUCUUUGUUCUUCAAUAUUAUGAAUAUGACUUUGUUCUACUUCAAUAUAUUGAUUAUGACUUUGCUCUACUUGUCUAUAUUCGUAAUUAUAUUGUUCUUUAUUUAUCAUAGUUAUAUACUUGGCUUAGUUAGAUUGGAAUUAUAUACAUGUUUAGGAUCGUAUAGCGUUUAUCCAUCGGAUCCAUUGGUAAAUGAUAGAUACUGUGUAGGCAUGGUGCUUAUACCGUAUUUAUUUGCGAUUGUACCCUAUAUGCCUGAUCGCGGGGUAGUUCGUGAUAGUGACAGCUUCAUUGAUUCUUAUAUAGUCCCCCUCUCGUGUAUAGGGCUGGCAGAGCAACAUUAUUAUAGGGGAGUGAUUGCUAUGUUUCUCAUUUACCUUGAUAAUAUCACUAUGCAUGGGCGUAAUCUUGUCUCACAAUGAUUGCUAAGUAUAAUUGCACUAACUAUGAUAUGCUAGACUGUAUAGUUAAGAAUAGCUUAGGAAAUAUUCUUGUAGUUCAUCCUAAUUCCAUGCUAAUGACUUGCUAGAAUAUCUAAUUGAGGUGCUUAUCAUAUUUAUUUUGUGGCUAAGUUAUGCUGAUCAGAUUAAUUAUCUUUGUCACCAUUCAUUACUUUAUAUAUCUUUUAUGUGACACUUAUCCCUGUAUGAAAGAGUUAGAUAAAUGUUCUCAAUUAUACAUGCAAUGAUAGAUACUCAAUCUUAUAUUCCAUUCUAUAAUCAACAUUGAUGAUUACUAAUCCCUUCCCAGUGGUAAAAAUAUAAAUAACGAUACCUAGAAUACUUCUCGGUUAAAAUGCUACAUCGGUAUUAAUCUAUGUGCUUGCAGAUCCCAUUUGAUUAUUUAUUUAGAUGAGCAAUUGCAUAUUUCAAUACCACGUCUCUCAUGUCAUGCUGGGGAUGACAACUUGGCUUAAGUGGCAUGAGGGAUAGGUUUGGCAUUUUUGGCGCCGUUAUCAGAAAUAGAAAACUAAGUCUACUUUUGGUAAUGACGUUAAGAAUGCCCAACAAGCAUUUUUGGCGCCGUUGCCGGGGAAGGUUUAUUAGUAAUCUAGAAUGAAUAUAGAAUUUCGAUUUAUCAUUCGCAUCACUAAUAUGAUUGAGCUUAUCAAUUCUCUCAUACAGUUUUACCCCGAUAUUUUCCUAUUUUAUCUUAUGCAGGGUAAUGUAUGAAUAGAAGACAUCUUCCAGGAAAUUUUGUUGACAAUCCCGAAGCGUUAUUCAGAAAAACAAGAGCCAAGGUAAAGAAGAGAUCAUCAACACAUUAGCAAGAAGCUUCAUCCAAUCAAGAAGAUCACCGGAACUUGUCUUCAGAGUUCGGAGUCAUGGCGAACAAAUCGAUCCGUGAGUUCUCAGCUCCCACUACGGACAACAUCCGCACUGGACCUGUUGCAGAGAUCGAUGGCAACUUUAAGCUCAAGCCUAGACUUAUCAACAUGGUGCAAUAUAACUAGUUCUGUGGGAAGGCACACGAAGAUGCUAGUGCUCAUCUCCAACACUUCCUGGAGAUAUGCAGCACAUUUACCAUAUGAGGAGUCCCCAGAGAUGCUAUACUACUUCGCCUCUUCCCAUUCUCACUGUUGGGGAGAGCGAAGCAGUGGUUCUACGCUACAAAGGAGAAGAAUACUACGUGGGCACUCUGCUCCAUGAACUUUCUGGCUAAGUUCUUUCCCAUGGGCAAGACCAAUGCUCUCCGUGGGAAGAUUACAAGUUUUCAGCAACAACAUGAUGAAUCCGUUCCAGAAGCAUGGGAGUGCUUCUAAGACUACAUCCUAGAAUGUCCCCAUCAUGGAAUGGAGAGUUGGCUACUGAUGCAGACGUUUUAUCAUGGGCUCGGCAACAGUACCCGAGAAACCAUGGACGCUGCAGCUGGAAGAGCAUUCCUAUCACUUACCAUACCACAAGCCACAGCUCUUGUGGAGAAGAUGGCAUCCAACCAAGGCUGGAAUGAAGAGGGGACCCAGACACGCAAGAGAGGUGGAGGUAUGCAUCAGCUCAAGGAGGUAGACAUGUUGUCUGCAAAGCUAGACCUGCUCAUGAAGAAGCUCAAUGAUAGAGCUGGAGAUAAGAAAGAAGUUAUGCACAUCUACGACUCUCACAUGACUUAUGAGGAGUGUGGAGAUACUGGACACUCAGGCAAUCACUGCCUUCAGAUGCUUGAGGAUGUGAACUACAUCAACAACUACUACUACUACUACAACCGUCCACAACAAAAUCAAGGUUGGAAUCAACAAAGGCCUAACUACUCAGUUAAUUAUCAAGGUAACAAUUCUUACAACAAUAAUAAUAAUUUUCCACCUCUGAGAGAGUUAGUGUCUAAUCAAGGAAAGCUAAUGGAUCACUGUUGACGGUCCUUAAUGCUUACAUUUAACCAUCAACUAAUCAUAGAAAAGGAUCCAAAUGCAACCAACACCUAGACUUAGGGUUUUAUCUGACAGAAUUCCACGAGUUUUGGUGUUUGUCUAUUUCUGCAGGGGGUUAUCAGGAAAUACGAAAGAAAGGCCCACACGUCGGGUUUACAUAGAGAUAUUAACAUACCACAUAAUUUUCUACCAUCUAGAAGACUCCAGAAGCCACGAGAACGAACGGGAGGCCGAUUGGGCUCGGAGGCAGGGCGCCCGCCCAACUCUCCUGGGCGCCCGCCCAGCUACAGUGUCCAAUUCGGACCCGUUUCGCGUAUUAUGCUCCACCGACCUAAAGGAUCAAGGAAAACCGUGCGAUCAAUGUCGGUUUGAUCCGACGGCCCAGAUUCACUUGAAGGGACUAUAAAACCAGACCCCCCUGGCCCCUGGAGAUCAUACCUCUUCUACAGAAUCAAAGUUAGGGUUUCAAUUCUUCAUCCAAGUAGAGAGGAUCCCUCUAGUUCUUCUAGUUCUACCUCUAGUUCAUCUAGAUCUAGUUCUAGUUCUAGUUCCUCUAGUUCUAGUUCUAGUUAGUUCUAGUUGUAAUCUAGAAAAUAGGGACAGAGAAGAGGAGAGCGGAGGAGGAGCCGGAUCUGUCGGAUCUUCCUCAACAUUGUAUUUUUGCAGCAUCUGGUUCGUUCUUCCUCGUUCUCCAGGUUCUUCAACUCAUAACUCCUGAGUUCUCUAAUUACUUUUAUUUACAUUCAAGUUAUUUAUUGGAUUCCCGCUUGCAUCAAGUGCUCUAGUCUUUGAAACAUUAGAGUAGUAAUCAAUAGAUUAGAUGUGGUGUUUAGUCUUGCGAUUACCUGGAAUUGCACCCAAUCCUGCGGAUUGUUGUGGUAGCCUUAGGGUAGUGACAGCCCUAACGGUCGACGUAUUCCACCACGUUCGGAUCGGUGUUUGUAGGACCGUAGUCAGACCUUCCUAGCCCCCUUCUCAUCUCUUUCUGUGGUUAGUGCUCUGAUGUCCCGAUAUAAAUAAUCUUGAAGUAAUUCUUGAUUCUUAGAUCAACUAGAGAACUCUCAGGAAACUUCCUUUCUUCCCACCAAAAACAAUUAUAUAGUUAUCCUUGGGCGAUCUUGGGUCUUAAUUAGUACACUCACGUUCUCUGUGGAAAAUCGAUACUCUGGAAUACUCCCGGGUGAAGGCUACAUCGGUAUCCGUGCGCUUGCGGAUUUUUCUGUUUGCGUUUAAAAUACCCAACAAGCUUUCUGGCGCCGUUGCCGGGGAACGGUAGCUGUGCUAGUUUCGAACCAAGUCGUCUGUGUAUCCUUUUUCUUUUCCUUUUUUACCACACUCACCUUAUCAUUUUCACCACACCACAUGGAUUUCACUCUAAGCAUUAAUGAGCAUGGAAUUUAUUUCAUAGCCACUUCAUUUACUCCAUGCUCAUAUGCAACAUCUUCACAAUCCAUUGGUCUCUCCAAUAUCACCACAUUCGAGAUCUCCAACCCCCUCUUCCUUUCUAUUUAUAAAAACUUUAAAAGGGCGGUUGUCGAUGCAUAUGUCUAUAAUAAAUUUUGCAGAUCUCGUUGAGUUGAUCUUGAUAUAGGUCAGCGUUGGAGGGGAAACCACUUCGCCGACAUAAAUUGAUGGUUUCCCAAGGACAAGCUUAGUGUCCUAAAACAAGCACUGAUCAGAUCGUAACAUGAGCUUUUAAUUAUUUGCAACAUUACCUUGUGUAUUGAGCAUAUAAGGAUAAUUGUAAAAAAAAUUCCUUCGGGUAUUCUUGUCACUAACCUUUCCAGGAUUGGAGCAAGAAGAUCGGAUGAAUGACAAGCACAAGGUAUGUCCAACCAAUCAUCAUACAACAUUGAAUUAAAUUCAUCCAAACUUGAAUUUUGCAAAAUUCAAGCUUGGGGGAGUACUUUACAUUAAAAACAUCCUUUGCCAUGUUGCUAUGUUGGUUGUUCCUACCUUUGAGACAUGCUCAAUUUGUUAAAUACUAAUCACACUACUUCAUCUCCACUUGAGUAGAUCUCUAUAAAUGCUCUCAUGCUACCUUUAUUUGCUUUAGUAUAUGUCUAGGUUGGAGUAGUUUCAUUUAUCUCUUAAUUAAGCAUGGUGCUUAGUUUAUGAAUGAUGAUCUUACUUCCAAAGGAUUUUAAUUUAAGCAUGAUGCUUAGGUUAAAAUUCCCUCCUAAAUCAAAUUAGACAUGGUGUCUAGGUUGAUCUUUGAGCCGAUAGUACGCUAUAGUAGAUAUUGGAUAUUUUGUUGGACUAACCCCUGCAGGAAAACUUUCAAUAUCAACCUGGGAGGUCCUGAGUCAAACUCACAUUGGAGACAAAGAGAGACACACAUGAAGUUUAACAAUUUACACAAGGAAGGCAUAGCUCACAAGAGAUGAUCCAUGGAGGGUGCCAAAAACACGAUGCACAACCGCUAAGAGAGGAAAGCUUCCAAAAGGUGAUACUGUACCAUCACUCUUCAAGUAAGGUAACAUCUUAAAGUACUUGACUAUCACUUUUAUAAGCUUCUCCUUGGUUCUAGCGUUCACAUGAGUAAAAGAGACAAACAUGUAUGAUUUACAACUCUAGAUUAACCAACCCAAUCGAUUCAAUAUGUUUAGUCCUUCUACCUUUGUGAUCCCACACUCCUAAUCAUAUGAACUAAAAAUGUUACACACCCAAUCUUUGGAAGAUAUAUAUUAUAUAAAAAGCAACAUAACUAUAGAUAGAUUAUCUUUCCAUUAGGUUGAGUGAUCUGAUCUGACAAAUGUUUUAAACGCUACACUCAUGAUCUUAUUAUCCAUCAACUGUGUCUUGCUCACUAUGCUUAAGGAUAGAGAAGAGCAAAUACACUUUUGGUUCUGUUGGUGUUUUCCACCAACAGGGCCCAUGCACUUGAUCUCCGCCUUGUCUCAAUGAGCAGGAACACUUUGAGCAAAAUGUGAAGGACUUUUACAACUCCCAGACUCCACCAAGUGAAGUACCUAGAUCUACGAGCACAAACACACUGGAGAUACUGGACACUCAGGCAAUCACUGCCCUGAGAUGCUUGAGGACAUAACUACUGGAGUAACCCUGUUGUGGAAGUAAUUACUGACCUUCUGCCAGUCAAGAGAUACAAUCCAGGACAUCCCGUCAUCCCGAUCUCCAUCGGCAUGGUGGACUUCCUAGAAGCACUCUGCAACUUUGGCUCCAGCGUCAACAUUAUGCUCCGGGUACUCUAUGAAAAAUUCUUUACACAUCCUUUCCUAGAAACAACCAUGUGUUUGCAGCUUGCAGAUCAGACACUAAGUUUCCCAAAGGGAAUAUUGAAGAACCUCUACGUCUGAGUUGGUACAUUGUACGCCCCAGCAAACUUCGUGGUGAUAGAGACUGGUACUGAUGAGAGGGCACCCAUCUUAGGGAGGCCAUUCCUGAACACCUCGGGAGCUGUCAUCUACGCUAGUGCUGCCAAGAUCAAUUUCUACAUCAAGGGGAGGAAGGAGAUGUUUUCCUUCAAGAACAAGACACACAAAUCUCAGAGCAAUCCUGACAUGAACCAAGGAAGAGGACCAAUAGGAGGAACAGAAACAAGCAAAUGUGGACCGAGACAGCUAAGAUGGUCACUACAGCUCAAGGAGGUCAAGAUCGUCAACUCAAGUCGCCUUUCUUGAUCAAGAAAGACGACCCUGGUGUUCCAAGCAUCGAGUGCACAAUCAACGGAUAUUCUUUUCAGAAGACACUCUACGACACCGGAUCUGAUGUCAACAUAAUGGCCGCAGUCACUUAUCAGCUCCUGCAUGGAACCAUGCCCCUACAACCAACAUACAUUCAGCUCCGGAUGAUUUUCAGGUUAUUGACAUGGGAGAAGACGAGUACAAUACACCCAUCACCAUUGGGAGAUCGUUCCUCAGCACCGUUAAAGCAAUCAUCUACAUUGGAACCAGAGAAGUCCACAUGAACUUCUCCUCUGAGAAGGUACGCCGCUAUUUUACUGACCCUAACUAUAUAGUUGAAGACUCUAAGCAGGUCAGGACAAGAAGGAGACGACGCAACCGCAACCAGAGAAGGCAAAAUCAUCAAGGACGGAUGGGUAGACUAUGAAGGAGAAGUGGUAAUAUCUGAAGACAUACUGCUUGAACAGAUUUAUCCUGAGGAGACCGUAGGACCGAGUCAGGUGUGGAGAGAGAAGAUAGUUAUACACGAAGAGCAGACACCACCGAAACCACCGACUACGCCAUCCAGCGAAUCCCAGGACGAAUGAGAAAACGGAGAGUCCUGUUCGAAGGACGUAAAAACACCGAACGCCUUGCCAAGAGGUAAACUUGGUAGUUAUCUUUUCUUUUCAAUUAUUUAAAAUAGUUUGCUUAGUUAAUCAGGUUCAUAUCAUCUUGAAAAGAAAAUAAAAAUAUUAAAAAUAGUAAGCCCCAUGUGAGUAUGCUCAUGGCAUAAAAACCCAUAAGUACAUUCACUGUGGUGGCAUAAAAAUAAAAUAAAUAUAUUCCUGUCCGAUAAAAAUGAAAAUAUAAAAAUAGAUUUAUGAUCCUACUAAAGAGAGUAACAUUUACUGAGGAGGCUCAACAUGAUAAAGGCUAGAUAUUUAUGCUAACACUUAACCAGUUCCACAAAGCUUUGUUGUCUAUUUGAGCUCCACAGAAUUCAAGGAUCAAAGAAGACUAGCAGACGGAGGACAUCCUAAUCACUGUCAGGGUGCUGCCGACAUUCAACUACACCUCCGCCACCUCCUAGCUACAUGAGAAGAAAUUACGUCAAAAUCCAGCUUGGGGGAGAGCACCACCAUUUAUCCAGCUAAGUAUUCUACUCACGUUUAUAUUUUACUCAAAUAAUAAAAAGAUGCAUAAUCAUAAAAACCCAAAUAAAGAUUUUGUGCUUAUAUAUAUAUCUUUGCUUAUCUUGCUAAAUAAAUAAAUAAAUAAAGUUUGAUAUGAACCCUCAUGAUAAGCUCUCACAUGGAAAUGAUGAAUAGUUGCUCUGCCAUGAUUAGUUCUAAAAAUUGAAAUCUCUCUUAAGUUUAGGCAUGACUGUUAUUAAUUAAGAUUUGCUCUAAACCUGAACUUGUGGGGAGAGUACUUGAUCUAAAGUCUAAGUCAUUAACGGAUACGAUAUGGGAAGGUUGAGCUGCUGUUUAUCUGUUCCUAGAGAUGCUAGAAUUCUGGAGAAUUUUAUCUUUGAAAAUCUUUAAAAUGUUGCAUGAUGAGUUCCUGUAUGAUGAGAGUUUAAAUUCCUACCACAGCCAUAUAUACAUGCUUGUUAGACUAUGAACCACACAUUUACUUUUUACUGCUUAUGAGCAUUGAGUGUGGUCAAGCUGUGUAGACCCUUAGGAGCUUGUCAUGUGGUUAAAUCAAGAUUCACUUGCACGUUCACUCACACAUGCUAUUUCUACUCCAGAAGUACCAUCCACAUAUAUCCAUCCAUUUCCAUCUCCAGAACCACCCAAAAAUAUUCUACUCCUAAUCCGGGAGAGAAUAGCCAAAAAUAUUCUCCUAUUUAUGUUUUUCCCUGUGUGAAAUAAAUGCUCAAGUUAUCUUGGUUACUACCACUUGCUAUAUUAUCUCAUGAGCUGAGUGCUCUACUAAAAAAAAAGAAAGAAAAAAAAGAAUACGAGGAAAUAAAAAGGGGCAAGUGCCCGGAACCUCGAAAGAAAGAAAAAAAAAGUGAGACGAGAGGUAAAAAUGGGCAAGUGUCCGACAGUAGAAUUAGGAGUACAAGAUACCCACCUGAGAGGAAAGAAAAAGAAAAUAUAGAGCAUCUCAUUCUCCUCAAAAAGUUUCAAAAGUGCAAGAAAGGUAUGUAUCCCCUCAAAAGAGCAUAAGUAGAAUUAGACUUUCACCAUUAUCACCAUCAUCACCAUACACCAUUCAUUCGCCACACAUGCACAUCUUGAUUUGACUUAUUGACUUGUUCUUCUGGAUCCAUGGUUUGACUAUGCAAUAAAUGUCUUGUAAGUAUGUAUUAGCUGUCUCCCACCUAUGAGCUCCAGAUAUCAAAACCUUAUUAGAGUAGGGUGAGAGAGAAGGCAAUGUCACUAUGCCUUAUACCACAAAUACCACAUACUUUGAGAGAAGGCAUACACCAUUACUGCCUUGGUAAGGAUCCAGAAAUACCACAAAAGAGAGACUAGAGAGAGUCAUACAAGGAAUCUUUGAGUUUUAUUUGAAAAUCUGCAAAUACUCUAGAGCUAUAGUUAAUCGAAGAACAAGAGACAUGGUGCUUGACUAGACUGUUCUAUCUUUUAACUACUCAAGACAGAAGUGACGGUUGCAAGCCCCAUGGUGGAAGGUAAUAUGAGUAAGUUUAAAUCUUAACAGUUUACUCUAACCCAGAGAUGAUAUCUUGUUUGAACGCAUGUGUAUCUUUAAGGCAUGAAACCACUGCAGAAACUCUUGAGUUCAUCUUUGCUCAGGGACGAACAAAGGUUAAGCUUGGGGGAGCUUGUUGACGGUCCUUAAUGCUUACAUUUAACCAUCAACUAAUCAUAGAAAAGGAUCCAAAUGCAACCAACACCUAGACUUAGGGUUCUAUCUGACAGAAUUCCAUGAGUUUUGGUGUUUGUCUAUUUCUGCAGGGGGUUAUCAGGAAAUACGAAAGAAAGGCCCACACGUCGGGUUUACAUAGAGAUAUUAACAUACCACACAAUUUUCUACCAUCUAGAAGACUCCAGAAGCCACGGGAACGAACGGGAGGCCGAUCGGGCUCGGAGGCAGGGCGCCCGCCCAACUCUCCUGGGCGCCCGCCCAGCUACAGUGUCCAAUUCGGACCCGUUUCGCGUAUUAUGCUCCACCGACCUAAAGGAUCAAGGAAAACCGUGCGAUCAAUGUCGGUUUGAUCCGACGGCCCAGAUUCACUUGAAGGGACUAUAAAACCAGACCCCCCUGGCCCCUGGAGAUCAUACCUCUUCUACAGAAUCAAAGUUAGGGUUUCAAUUCUUCAUCCAAGUAGAGAGGAUCCCUCUAGUUCUUCUAGUUCUACCUCUAGUUCAUCUAGAUCUAGUUCUAGUUCAUCUAGUUCUAGUUCUAGUUCCUCUAGUUCUAGUUCUAGUUAGUUCUAGUUGUAAUCUAGAAAAUAGGGAGAGAGAAGAGGAGAGCGGAGGAGGAGCCGGAUCUAUCAGAUCUUCCUCAACAUUGUACUUUUGUAGCAUCUGGUUCGUUCUUCAUCGUUCUCCAGGUUCUUCAACUCAUAACUCCUGAGUUCUCUAAUUACUUUUAUUUACAUUCAAGUUAUUUAUUGGAUUCCCGCUUGCAUCAAGUGCUCUAGUCUUUGAAACAUUAGAGUAGUAAUCAAUAGAUUAGACGUGGUGUUUAGUCUUGCGAUUACCUGGAAUUGCACCCAAUCCUGCGGAUUGUUGUGGUAGCCUUAGGGUAGUGACAGCCCUAACGGUCGACGUAUUCCACCACGUUCGGAUCGGUGUUUGUAGGACCGUAGUCAGACCUUCCUAGCCCCCUUCUCAUCUCUUUCUGUGGUUAGUGCUCUGAUGUCCCGAUAUAAAUAAUCUUGAAGUAAUUCUUGAUUCUUAGAUCAACUAGAGAACUCUCAGGAAACUUCCUCUCUUCCCACCAAAAACAAUUAUAUAGUUAUCCUUGGGCGAUCUUGGGUCUUAAUUAGUACACUCACGUUCUCUGUGGAAAAUCGAUACUCUGGAAUACUCCCGGGUGAAGGCUACAUCGGUAUCCGUGCGCUUGCGGAUUUUUCUGUUUGCGUUUAAAAUACCCAACAAUCACCUAUCUAAGAAAUUGGCAUCUAAUGAUAAAAUGCUAGAAAAAUAUAAAUAAUAGAAUGGAUAAUUUCUCUAUUGCCAUCAAGAAUCAAAUUAGCUUUAAUAAAAUUAUUGAAUCUCAGUUAAAUCAAAUAGCUGCUGCUGUUCCUGCUACUAACCCCGGUAUACCAUCACAACCGGAAGGAUUAGAAUCUACAAAUCUUGUAGACAUGUUUGAUGCAGGUAACUAUUGGAGUAACCCCGUCACUGAAGUUAAUACUGACCUUCUGCCGGUCAAGAGAGGCGACCCAGGACGCCCCGUCAUCUCGAUCUCCAUCGGCAUGGUGGACUUCCCAGAAGCACUCUGCGACUUUGGCUCCAGCGUCAACAUUAUGCCUAGGGUACUCUAUGAAAAAUUCUUUACAUAUCCUUUAUUAGAAACAACCAUGUGUUUGCAGUUUACAGAUCAGGCGUUAAGUUUCCCAAAGGGAAUAUUGAAGAACCUCUAUGUCCGAGUUGGUACCUUGUACGCCCCAGCAGGCUUCGUGGUGAUAGAGACCGGUAAUGAUGAGAGGGCACCCAUCAUCUUAGACAGGCCAUUCUUAAACACCUCGGGAGCUAUCAUCUAUGCUAGUGCUGCCAAGAUCAGUUUCUACAUCAAGGGAAGGAAGGAGACAUUUUUCUUCAAGAACAAGACUACACAAAUCCUAGAGCAAUCCCGACAUGAACCAAGGAAGAGGACCAACAGGAGGAAUAGGAACAAGCAAGUGUGGACCGAGUCAGCUAAGAUGGUCACUGCAUUUCAUGGAGGUCAAGAUCAUCGACUUAAGUCACCGUUUCUAACCAAGAAGGACGACCCAGGAAUGCCAAUCAUCUAUUGCUCCAUAAAUGGAUACAACUUCUACAAGAUGUUUUGCGACACCGGAUCGGGCGUCAACAUAAUGGCCGCAGUCACCUAUCGGCUCUUGUUCGAAACCAUGCCCUUAAAACCAACAUACAUUCAGCUCUAGAUGGCAGAUCAGACAUUUCGAGAGGUUAAAGGUAUAGUAACUGAUGUCCCUGUCAAAAUAGACGAUCAUUUUGUCUACACAGACUUUCAGGUUAUUGACAUGGGAGAAGACGAAUACGAUCCACCCGUCAUCCUUGGAAGACCGUUCCUUAGCACCGUUAAAGCAAUCAUCUACAUUGGAACUGGAGAAGUCCACAUGCACUUCCCCUCAGAGAAGGUACGCCGCUAUUUUACUGACCCUAACUAUAUCGUUGAAGACUCUAAGCAAGUCAGAACAAGAAGAAGACAACACAACCGCAACCAGAAGAGGCAAACCAUCAAGGACGGAUGGGCAGACUACGAAGGAGAAGUUGUAAGGUCUGAAGACAUACAGCUUGAACAAGAUUAUCCUGAGGAGACCGUAGCACCGAGUCAGGAGUGGAAAGAGAAGAUAACUAUACACGAAGAGGAGGCACCACUGGAAGCAUCGACUACGCCACCCAACGAAUCCCAGGACAACUAAGAAAAAUAGAGAGUCCCGUUCACGUUCGGAGGACUUAAAUACACCGAACGCCUUGCCAAGAGGUAAACUUGGUAGUUAUCCUUUCCCUUUCAAUUAUUUUAAACAGUUUGCUUAGUUAAUCAGGUUCAUAUCAUCUUAAAAAGAAAAUAAAAAAUGUCAAAAAACAGUAAGCCCCAUGUGAGUAUAUGAGUGGCAUAAACCCCAUAAGUACAUUCACUGUGGUGGCAUAAAAAUAAAAUAAAUAUUUCUUUUCUGCUUUAUAAAAUGAAAAUAUAAAAAUAGAGAGUAACAUUUAUUGAGGAGGCUCAACAUGAUAAAGGCUAGAUAUUUAUGCUAACACUUAAUCAGUUCCACAAAGCUUUGUUGUCUAUUUGAGCUCCACAUAAUUUAAGAAUCAAGAAGACUAGCAGAUGGAGGACAUUCUAAUCGCUGUCAGGAUACUGCCGACUUUCAAAUACACCUCUACCACCUCCUAGAUACAUCAGGAGAAAUUACGUCAAAAUUCAGCUUGGGGGAGAGCACCCCCAUUUAUCCCGCUAAGUAUUUCUAUCUAUCUUUAUACUUAUACUAUAUUAAAAUAUAAAUAUACAUAACUAUGAAAAAUCAAAUAAAGAUUUUGUACUUAUAUAUAUAUAUAUAUCUUUUGGUUAGUAUGCUUAAUAAAUAAAUAAAGUAGCUAUGCUAAACUGAAUCUUAAUAACAAAACUCUAGCAUGGAUAUGAUGAAUAGUUGCUCUGCCUAAUUUUCAAAUUUGAAUUCUCUCUCUAGUUUAGACAUAACUGUUAUAAUUUAAAGCUUGUUCUAAACCUAAACUUGUGGGAAGAAAACUUGAUCUGAAGUCUAAGUUGUUACCGGAUACGAUAUGGGAAGGUUGAGUUGCUGUUUAUCUAUUCUUAGAGUUGCUAGAAUUCUGGAGAAUUUUAUAUUUGAAAAUCUUUAAAAUAUCACAUGAUGAGUUCCGAUAUGAUGAGAGUUUAAAUUCCUACCACAGCCACAUAUAUACAUACUUGCUAGACUUUGAGCCACACAUUUAUUACUUUUUACUGCUUAUGAGCAUUGAGUGUGGUCAAGCUAUGUAGAUCCAUAGGAGCUUGUCAUGUGGUUAAAUCAAGAUUCACUUGCACGUUCACUCACACAUGUUGCUUCUACUCUGGAAGUACGCAUCCAUAUAUAUCCACCCAUUUCCAUCUCCAGAACUACCCAAAAAUAUUCUACUCCUAAUCCGGGAGAGAAUAGCCAAAAAUAUUUCUAUUUUUCCCUGUGAAAUAAAUGCUCAAGUUAUCUUGGUUACUACCACUUGCUAAAUUAUCUCAUGAGAUGAGUGCUCUAAAAAAAGAGAGAGAUGCGAGGAAAUAAAAAGGGGCAAGUGCCCGGAACCUCGAAAGAAAAGAAAAGUGAGACGAGAGGUAGAAAUGGACAAGUGUGCGACAGUAGAAUUAGGGGUACAAGAUACCCACCUGAGAGGAAAGAAAAAUAAAAUGUAGAGCAUCUCAUUCUUCUCAAAAAGUUUCAAAAAGCAAGAAAGGUAUGUAUCCCCUCAAAAGAACAAACGUAGAAUUAGACUUUCACCAUUGUUAUCACCAUCAUCACCAUACACCAUUCAUUCGCCACACAUGCACAUCUUGAUUUGACGUAUUGACUUGUUUCUCUGGAUCCAUGGAUUGACUAUGCAAUAAAUGUCUUGUAAGUAUGUAUAAUUUAUCUCCCACCUAUGAGCUCCAGAUAUCAAAAGCCUUAUUAGAGUAGGGUGAGAGAAAAGGCAAUGUCACUAUGCUUCAUACCACAAAUACUACAUAUAUUGAGAGAAGUCAUAUACCAUCAUUGCAUUGGUAAGGAUCCAGAAAUACCACAAAAGAGGGAUCUGAUUGAGUCAUACAAGAAAUCUCUAAGUUUUAUUUGAAAAUCUACAAAAAACUCGAGAGCUAUAGCUGAUCAACAAUAAGAGACAUGGCACUUGAUUAGACCGUUCUAUCUUUUAACUACUCAAGGCGGAAGUGACGGUUACAAGUCCCAUGGUGAAAGGUAAAAUAAGUAAGUUUUAAGUCUUGACAGUUUACUCUAACUCAGAGAUGAGACCUUAUUUAGAAGCAUGUGUACCGUCAAUUUUCAAAGAUAUUUUAACAACUUCUGAUCCAUCGCUGAGAUUAUCCUUGCUUAGGGACGAGCAAGAGGUAAGCUUGGGGGAGUUUGUUGACGGUCAUUAAGUAUCAAAUUUAAUUAUCAAUAAACAAAGAAAAGGAUCCAAAUGAAAUCAACAUCCAGACUUAGGGUUUUAUGUGACAGAAUUCCAUGAGUUUUGGUGUUUGUCUAUUUCUACAGGGGGUUAUCAGGAAAUACGGAAGAAAGGCCCACACGUCGGGAUUACAUAGAGAUAUUAACGUACCGCGCAAUUAUCUUACAUCUAGAAGACUCCAGAAUCCACGGGAACGAAGCAGAGGCAGUACGGGGCCUGGCCCGGGGCGCCCGCGCUAGAGACCAGGGCGCCCGCCCCCUGCUGGAGUCCAAUCCGGACUCUCUUUCCGGAUUACGCUCCACCGACAUAAAGGAUCAAGGAUAACCGUUCAAUCAAUGUCGGUUUGAUCCGACGACCCAUAUUCACUUGAAGGGACUAUAAAACCAGACCCCCUGGCCCCUGGAGGAGAGGACCUCUCAACCCUAAUUCAUUAUUCAUCAAGGGAGAAGAAGCCUCUGAUCAAGCCUAGAGCCACCACAUCAAUUAGACAUCUAGAUUAGCAUAGCUACAUAGGAUUAGAACUAGAAGGAGUCAAUCUUCGAUUGGUUUCCAGAUCUGUCAAGAGGAUUCUUGAUAAUUCUCUAUUGUUCUUCAAUUGUUCAUCUUUGUUCUUCAAUAUUAUGAAUAUGACUUUGUUCUACUUUAAUAUAUUGAUUAUGACUUUGCUCUACUUGUUUAUAUUCGCAAUUAUAUUGUUCUUAGUUUAUCAAAGUUAUAUACUUGGCUUAGUUCGAUUGUAAUUAUAUACAUGUUUAGGAUCGUAUAGCGUUUAUCCAUCGGAUCCAUGGGUAAAUGAUACAUAUUGUGUAGGUGUGGUGCUUAUACCGUAUUUAUCUGCGAUUGUACCCUAUAUGCCAGAUCGUAGGGUAGUUCGUGAUAGUGACAGCUUCAUUGAUUCUUAUAUAGUCCCCCUCUCAUGUAUAGGGCUGACAGAGCAACAUGGGGAGUGAUUGCUAUGUUUCUCAUUUACCUUGAUAAUAUCACUAUGUAUGGGCGUAAUCUUGUCUCACAAUGAUUGUUAAGUAUAAUUGCACUAACUAUGAUAUGCUAGACUGUAUAGUUAAGAAUAACUUAGGAAAUAUUCUUGUAGUUCGUCCUAAUUCCAUGCUAAUGACUUUCUAGAAUAUCUAAUUGAGGUGCUUAUCAUAUUUAUUAUGUGGCUAAGUGUUGACGGUCCUUAAGUAUCAAAUUUAAUUAUCAAAUAAACAAAGAAAAGGAUCCAAAUGAAAUCAACAUCUAGACUUAGGGUUUUAUUUGACAGAAUUCCACGAGUUUUGGUGUUUGUCUAUUUCUGCAGGGGGUUAUCAGGAAAUAAGGAAGAAAGGCUCACAUAUCGGGAUUACAUAGAGAUAUCAACGCACCGCGCAAUUUUCUACCAUCUAGAAGACUCUAGAAGCCACGGGAAGGAAGCGGAGCCCGAAAGGGGCCAGGCCCAGGGCGCCCGCACUGAGGACCUGGACGCCCGCCCACCUCUGGACUCCGUUCCGGACUCUCUUCGCACACGACGUUCCACCGACCUAUUGGAUCCAGAAUAACAUAGUACCACCUCGCCUAUCGACCCAAAAACGCAUAGAAGGGGAGGACUAUAUAAGGAGACCCCCUCUGGCCCCUGGAGGAGACAAGAAAUUAUCAUAGAGAUUGAGGGGUGCCCUCGAAGGAAAACCUCUUCUCUAAAUAAUAUUUCUUUUUAGGCUUAGCAACCAAUGUAAAGUAGAAAUAGAUCUUCUAGUUUCUACUAGAUUGAGAGAGAUAGAGUGAAGGUGUGGAUCGGAGGAGGGCCGGCCUGUCGGUGUCUACUCCGAGUUGUACCUACGGGAUCAAGUCUCCUAACCCGAGGCUUGCUUCUAAGAUUCUUCAGUAAUUCGACUUCUAAUACUAGUAAGUUCUUGUUUUAUUGUUCUUUCGUUUAUGAGUUUACUUUAAUCCUCUUCCGGUUGAGUAUUAGAGUAAUCACUUGUUAGCGUAAACGUGGUGUUUAGGCUAGGGUACUCAUAGAUAUCCCCUGAUCUAGCUGGACCGUGGUAGUAGCGAGGAACGUGACAUUUCCGAGUUACCUUUGCAGAUCACAUCUCGUUAGCAGGACGGGUAGGUUUAUAGGUGCGGGUCGAACAUCCUUUGUGUUGUCUAGAUUCCGUGAGCCUCCCCAAUAGAACAGUAGAUCAUCCUUACCAAGGUUAGAACGAGACUAAGGUUGCAGUCUUCUCUAUACAUCACUCACAUCGAGAGACAUUCUUUGUAGUCUAAAGGGAUAGUAGCAAUAGAUUUGGUUAGUCAGAUGCACCCUUUCUCCCAGUGGUAAAAAUAUAAAUACGAUAACUCUGGAUAACCUCCCGGGUGAAAUGCUCACCGAUAUCCGUGCACUUGCGGAUCAUUUUCUAAUUGCGUUACCAAAUAUCAACAAGCAUUUCUGGCGUCGUUGCCGGGGAGAAAGACGGUUUGCUGAGAUAACUUUGAGUCUUGCUAUUAUCUUGUAUUAUACUUUUAUACUUUUAUUCUUUUAUCUUUUUAUUUUUAAUUUUAUGGAUAACUCAAAUUCCAUACCUAUUAUUGAAUUCUUUGCACCUCCGGAGACCAGCCAUAGACCAUGGGAGUCAACACGUCCUGCCCCUAAUUAUGAUCUGUGUCCGGAGUUGAUUGCAAUAGGUCAAAACCAACCCUUUUCUAUGGCCGAGGUCCUAUCUUUUAAUCAAAAAAGAUAAUGCACUUUUAGCUACACCUAGGGAAUGUGUUAAUCUUUCUAUAAAUUCUGGUUUAGACCUAGCCCUACAAGACCAUGUUUUUCCUAGAUAUUUUCACAUUGGUCUUAAUCAUAUAACCUUUGGUAGAGUCCUUCUUUCUUUAUCUAUUAGUAAAGGAAGGUAUGUCUUCAUUUGUGGACAUCCUUCUUGUACUAGUCUUCAUAGAAAAAUCUUAGAAAUAGAGAAGGAAUCAUCUCCCAGACGAGGAAAGGAAGUUUCAAUAGCCGAUUUCCAAACAUUUCAAUCCCAUGAUUCGGCUAUCCAUCCCAUCCUUGAGCUUAAUAAAUUCUACUAUGCUCUUUCUCUUAAACCUCCCGAUAAUCCUAUGAAUUUCUCUAGACAUCCCAUGCAUAAGAAGGAGGAUCGAGAAGAGCAACAUCAAUGGCAAGAGGGCAUUAAAAAUCCAUGUGCUAUCACCAUUGAAUGGAUGGAUAAAACAAACUUGAGAGACAAUCCUAGAGGAAUUUUAAGCAUUCAUGAAGAAUUAACCUUGGAGUUUGAGAAUGGGAGAAACAACAGUGAGCAUGGAAGUUAUUUCAUAAAUAUCUUACCAAGUCCUUGCUCAUAUAAAACAUCUCCCCAAUCAAUUGGUCUCUCCAUCCUUACCACAUUUGAGAUCUCCAACCCUCUCUUCUUUUCCAUUUAUAAAAACUUUAAAAGAGCGGUUGUCGAUGCAUAUGUCUAUAAUAAAUAUUGCAGAUCUCGUUGAGUUAAUUGAUGGUUUCCCAAGGACAAGCUUAGUGUCCUAAAACAAGCACUUCUAAUUAUUUGCAACAUUGCCUUGUGUAUUGAGCAUAUAAAGAUAAUUGUAGAAAUAUUCCUUCGGGUAUUCUUGUCACUAACCUUUCCAGGAUUGGAGCAAGAAGAUCGGAUGAAAGACAAGCACAAGGUAUGUCCAACCAACCAUCACACAACAUUGAAUUAAAUUCAUCCAAACUUGAAUUUUGCAAAAUUCAAGCUUGGGGGAGUACUUUACAUAAAAACAUCCUUUGCCAUGUUGCUACAUUGGUUGUCCCUACCUUUGAGAGAUGCUCAAUUUGUUAAGUACUAAUUACACUACUUCACCUCCACUUGAGCAGAUCGCUAAAAAUGCUCUCAUGCUACCUUUAUUUGCUUUAGUAUAUGUCUAGGUUUGGAGUACUUUCAUUUAUCUCUUAAAUCAAGCAUGGUGCUUAGUUUAGGAAUGAUGAUCUUACUUCCAAAAGUUUUUCUUUUUUAAAUUAAGCAUGGUGCUUAGGUUAAAAUGCCCUCCUAAAUCAAAUUAGACAUGGUGUCUAGGUUGAUUUUUGAGCCGAUAGUAUGCUAUAGUAGAUAUGGGAUAUUUUGUUGGACUAACCCCUGCAGGAAAACUUUCCAUAUCAACCUGGGAAGUCCUGAGAUAUAAACUCAUUGGAGAUAAAGGAGACACAUGAAGUUUAACAAUUUGCACAAGAAGGACAUAGCUCAUUCAUCAUAAAGAGAUGAUCCAUGGAGGGUGCCACAAACACGAUGCAAGGAAAGCUUCCACAAGGUGAUACUGUACCGUCACUCUUCAAGUAAGGUAACAUUUUAAGGUACUUGACUAUCACUUUUAUAAGCUUCUCCUUGGUUCUAGCGUUCACAUAAAAUAAAGAGACAAACAUGUAUGAUUUGUAGCUCCAAAUUAAUCAACCCAAUUAAUUCAACAUGUUUAGUCCUUUAAUCUUUGUUCUUAAUACUACCUUCGUGAUCCCACACUCCUAAUCAUAUAAGCUAAUAUGUUGCUCAUUCAAUCUUUGGAAGAUAUAAACAAAACAUAAAUAUAGAUAGAUUAUCUUUCCAUUAGGUUGAGCCAUCUGAUCUAACAAAUGUUUUAAAUGCUACACUCAUCAUCCAUCAACUUUGUCUUGCUCACUAUGCUUAAGGAUAGAGAAGAACAAAUACACUUUUGGUUCUGUUGGUGUUUUCCACCAACAGGGCCCAUGCACUUGAUCUCUGCCUUGUCUCUAUGAGCAGGACACAUUUUGAGAAACGUGAAGGCAUUUUUACAACUCCCAGAUUCCAUCAAGUGAAGAACCGGGAUCUACAAGCACAAACACAAUGGAGAUGAGACACUUAGUUUCCCAAAAGAAAUAUUGAAGAACCUCUGUGUCCGAGUUGGUACCUUGUACACUCCAGCAAACUUCGUGGUGAUAGAGACUGGCACUGAGGAGAGGGCACCCAUCAGAUUAGGGAGGCCAUUCCUAAACACCAGAAGUGUCAUCUACGCUAAUGCUGCCAAGAUCAGUCUCUACAUCAAGGGGAAGAAGGAGAUUUUCCUUCAAGAACAAGACUACACAAACUUCAGAGCAAUCCCGACAUGAACCAAGGAAGAGGACCAACAGGAGGAACAGGAACAAGCAAAUGUGGACCGAGUCAGCUAAGAUGGUCGCUGCAGCUCAAGGAGGUCAAGAUCGUCGACUCAAGUCACCUUUCUUGAUUAAGAAGGACGACCCUGGUGUUCCAAGAAUCGAAUGCAUAAACAAUGGAUACUCUUUUUAGAAGACACUCUACGACACCGGAUCUGACGACAACAUAAUGGCCGCAGUCACUUAUCAGCUCCUGCAUGGAACCAUGCCCCUGCAACCAAGAUACAUUCAGCUUCAAACAAUUUUCAGGUCAUUGACAUAGGAGAAGACGAGUACGAUCCACCCAUCAUCCUUGGAAGCCCAUUCCUCAACACUAUCAAAGCCAUCAUCUAUAUUGGAAUCAGAGAAGUCCACAUACACUUCUCCUCUGAGAAGGUAUGCCGCUAUUUUACUGACCCUAACUAUAUAGUUGAAAACUCUAAGCAGGUCAGGACAAGAAGAAGACAACGCAACCGCAACCAGAGGAGGCAAAUCAUCAAGGACAGAUGGGUAGACUACGAAGGAGAAGUGAUAAGGUCUGAAGACAUAUAGCUUGAAUAGAACUGUCCUGAGGAGACCGUAGCACCGAGUCAGGUGUGGAGAGAGAAGAUCGUUAUAUAUAAGAGGUGCCGCCGGAACCACCGACUACGCCAUCCAGCGAAUCCCAGGACGACUGAGAAAAUGGAGAGUCCCGUUUGGAGGACUUAAAAACACAGAACGCCUUGCCAAGAGGUAAACUUGGUAGUUAUCCUUUUCUUUUCAAUUAUUCAAUUAUAGUUUGCUUAGUCAAUCAGGUUCAUGCUAUCUUGAAAAGAAAAUGAAAAUGUUAAAAAAUAGUAGGCCCCAUGUGAGGAUGCUCAUGGCAUAAAACCCAUAAGUACAUUCACUUUGGUGGCAUAAAAAAAUAAAUAAGUUUUCAUCUUACAAUAAAAAUAUAAAAAUAAUAAGUGCAUGAUCCUGCUAAAUAAGUAACAUUUGUUGAGGAGGCUCAACAUGAUAAAGGCUAGAUAUUUAUGCUAACACUUAACUAGUUCCACAAAGCUUUGUUGUCUAUUUGAGCUCCACAGAAUUCAAGGAUCAAAGAAGACUAGCAGACGGAGGACAUUCUAAUCGCUGUCAGAAUGCUGCUGACUUUCAAAUACACCUCUGCCACCUGCUAGCUACAUCAGAAGAAAUUACUUCAAAAUCCAGCUUGGGGGAGAGCACCCCCAUUUAUCCAGCUAAGUGUUUCUACUCGCGUUUAUACUUUACUCAAAUAAUAAAAGAUGCAUAAUCAUGAAAGCCCACAUAAAGAUUUUGUGCUUUUAUAUAUUUUUGCUUAGUUUGCUAAAUAAAUAAAUAAAUAAAGUUUGCUAUGAACCCUCAUGAUAAACUCUCAAAUGGAAAUGAUGAAUAGUUGCUCUGCCAUGACUAGUUCUUAAAAUUGAAAUCUCUCUCAAGUUUAGGUAUGACUGUUAUGAAGUAAGAUUUGCUCUAAACCUAAACUUGUGGGAAGAGUACUUGAUCUAAAGUCUAAGUCGUUAACGGAUAUGAUAUGGGAAGGUUGAGCUGCUGUUUAUCUGUUCCUAGAGAUGCUAGAAUUCUGGAGAAUUUUAUCUUUGAAAAUCUUUAAAAUGUUGCAUGAUGAGUUCCUGUAUAAUGAGAGUUUAAAUUCCUACCAUAGCCAUAUAUACAUGCUUGCUAGACCUUGAGCCACACAUUUACUAUUUACUGCUUAUGAGCAUUGAGUGUGGUCAAGCUGUGUAGACCCUUAGGAGCUUGUCAUGUGGUUAAAUCAAGAUUCACUUGCACGUUCACUCAUACAUGCUACUUCUACUCCGGAAGUACCAUCCACAUAUAUCCACUCAUUUCUAUCUCCAAAACCACCCAAAAGUAUUCUACUCCUAAUCCGGGAGAGAAUAACCAAAAAUAUUUCUAUUUCCCCUUGUGAAAUAAAUGCUCAAGUUAUCUUGUUACUACCACUUGCUAUAUUAUCUCAAGAGAUGAAUGCUCUGAAAAAAAAGAGAGAAAAAGAAAAUAAAAGAUACGAGGAAAUAAAAAGGAGCAAGUGCUCGGAACCUCGAAAGAAAAGAAAAAGAAGAGCAUCUCAUUCUCCUCAUAAAGUUUCAAAAGCAAGGAAGGUAUGUAUCCCCUCAAAGAGCAAAGUAGAAUUAGACUUCCACCACCAUUGUUAUCACCAUCAUCACCAUACACCAUUCAUUCGCCACACAUGCACAUCUUGAUUUGGCUUAUUGAUUUGUUUCUUUGGAUCCAUGGUUUGACUAUGCAAUAAAUGUCUUGUAAGUAUGUAUACUUUAUCUCCCACCUAUGAGCUCCAGAUAUUAAAGCCUUAUUAGAGUAGGGUGAGAGAGAAGACAAUGUCACUAUGCUUCAUACCACAAAUUCUACAUAUCUUGAGAGAAGGCAUAUACCAUCACUGCCUUGGUAAGGAUCCAAAAAUACCACAAAAGAGAGACCUGAGAGAAUCAUACAAGGAAUUUCUGAGUUUUAUUUGAAAAUCUGCAAAAACCCCAGAGCUAUAGCUGAUCAAGAAUAAGAGACAUGGCACUUGGCUAGACUGUUCUAUCUUUUAACCACUCAAGACAGAAGUGACGGUUACAAGUCCUAUGGUGUAGGUAAAGUAAGUAAGUUUUAAGUCUUAACAGUUUAUUCUAACUCGGAGAUGAGAUCUUGCUUAAAUGCGUGUGUACUUCUAAGAAAUGAAACCACUGCAGAAACUCUUGAGUUCAUCCUUGCUCAGGGACGAGCAAGAGGUAAGCUCGGGGGAGUUUGUUGACGGUCCUUAAGUAUCAAAUUUAAUUAUCAAAUAAACAAAGAAAAGGAUCCAAAUGAAAUCAACAUCUAGACUUAGGGUUUUAUCUGACAGAAUUCCACGAGUUUUGGUGUUUGUCUAUUUCUGCAGGGGGUUAUCAGGAAAUAAGGAAGAAAGGCCCACAUGUCGGGAUUACAUAGAGAUAUCAACGCACCGCGCAAUUUUCUACCAUCUAGAAGACUCUAGAAGCCACGGGGAGGAAGCGGAGCCCGAAAGGGGCCAGGCCCAGGGCACCCGCCCUGAGGACCUAGGCGCCCGCCCACCUCUGGACUCCGUUCCGAACUCUCUUCGCACACGACGUUCCACCGACCUAUUGGAUCCAGAAUAACAUAGUACCACCUCGCCUAUCGACCCAAAAACGCAUAGAAGGGGAGGACUAUAUAAGGAGACCCCCUCUGGCCCCUGGAGGAGACAAGAAAUUAUCAUAGAGAUUGAGGGGUGCCCUCGAAGGAAAACCUCUUCUCUAAAUAAUAUUUCUUUUUAGGCUUAGCAACCAAUGUAAAGUAGAAAUAGAUCUUCUAGUUUCUACUAGAUUGAGAGAGAUAGAGUGAAGGUGUGGAUCGGAGGAGGGCCGGCCUGUCGGUGUCUACUCCGAGUUGUACCUACGGGAUCAAGUCUCCUAACCCGAGGCUUGCUUCUAAGAUUCUUCAGUAAUUCGACUUCUAAUACUAGUAAGUUCUUGUUUUAUUGUUCUUUGGUUUAUGAGUUUACUUUAAUCCUCUUCCGGUUGAGUAUUAGAGUAAUCACUUGUUAGCGUAAACAUGGUGUUUAGGCUAGGGUACUCAUAGAUAUCCCCUGAAUAGCUGGACCGUGGUAGUAGCGAGAAACGUGACAUUUCCGAGUUACCUUUGCAGAUCACAUCUCGUUAGCAGGGCGGGUAGGUUUAUAGGUGCGGGUCGAACAUCCUUUGUGUUGUCUAGAUUCCGUGAGCCUCCCCAAUAGAACAGUAGAUCAUCCUUACCAAGGUUAGAACGAGACUAAGGUUGCAGUCUUCUCUAUACAUCACUCACAUCGAGAGACAUUCUUUGUAGCCUAAAGGGAAUAGUAGCAAUAGAUUUGGUUAGUCAGAUGCACCCUUUUGUCCCAGUGGUAAAAAUAUAAAUACGAUAACUCUGGAUAACCUCCCUGGUGAAAUGCUCACCGAUAUCCGUGCGCUUGCGGAUCAUUUUCUAAUUGCGUUACCAAAUAUCAACACUAAGUUAUGCUGAUCAGAUUAAUUAUCUUUGUCACCAUUCAUUACUUUAUAUAUCUUUUAUGUGACACUUAUCCCUGUAUGAAAGAGUUAGAUAAAUGUUCUCAAUUAUACAUGCAAUGAUAGAUACUCAAUCUUAUAUUCCAUUCUAUAAUCAACAUUGAUGAUUACUAAUCCCUUCCCAGUGGUAAAAAUAUAAAUAACGAUACCUAGAAUACUUCCAGAUUAAAAUGCUAUAUCGGUAUUAAUCUGUGCACUUGCAGAUCUCAUUUGAUUAUUUAUUUAGAUGAGCAAUUGCAUAUUUCAAUACUGCGUCUCUCAUGUUAUGCUGGGGAUGACAACUUGGCUUAAGUGGCAUGAGGGAUAGGUUUGCCAUUUUUGGCGCCGUUAUGAGAAAUAGAAAACUAAGUCUAAUUUUGGUAAUGACGUUAAGAAUGCCCAACAGUUGGAUGCUGAAAGAAGCGCAUCGGUGGAUCCUCAACAUCAGAUUACUGCCAAUGACGCUAAAGGCAAGGGUCUGAUUCAGGAAGGAACCAGCUCAGGAAGACCUCCCCGAUCUGGCAUUGUGAUAACUCAUAGAAGGCAUCGGGAGACCUGGCAACAAUGUGAAGAUCGGUAUCGGCGCCAACAGGAGGAUCAUUGUCGGGAAGAAGAAAGAUGCCGGCAAGAGUGGAAUCGGCAUAAGGAUCAUUGGAACUGCCCGUUCUUUAUCCACUGUUGGGAGCGAUACAUCAAACUACCCACUGUUAGAGACUACCCUGAGUGCAAUGGUUAUGAUCGGUAUGAUAGACCUAAUCGGCAGUAUCAAAACGAUGGUCGGUGAUUUAAUGGGCCGAUUAGAGGAAGAGCCUCUGUUCAUGAUCGGCUGGGGGGCAGGCUCAGCGUGCAUGAUAGACUUGGUGAUCGUAUCGGUUAUUUUCCCUGAAACCAAGAGGAGCUUGAGGAAAUGGCGGAUGCACUAGUUCCUGAUGAAUUCAUAUUUUGCAGGGAUGCUAAUACUUUCGGAUGGAGUCAAGGGAAAAUCGUCGCCAAUCGGUAAGGCAGCCACAACUUUCUCCAUGGUGUCCAGAAGGGCUGACUAGGACACAGAAGAGAAGGCUGUAGCGUGAAAGAUAAGAAGAGCUGAAUAAAGGAGAGAAUUCUACUAAGUCUGGAGACCGGCAGCAGCCAAAUUCUAAAGGAAAAGAACCAUCGACAGAUAUUAAUAUGGUGUUCAUGUUGCUGAUGGAGUUCCUUGCGCCAUCUAGUGAUGAUGAGGGGAUGGAUUUUUCUGACUAGAUAGCUCAGUUGGCUCUGGAUCCAAUGACGGCUAUCUUUGAAAAGCCUGUCGACAAUGAGAGGCGGCAUCUUAAAGCUCUGUUUGUCAAAAGAAGGGUUGAUGGGCAGCCAAUGACCAAGAUACUCGUUGAUGGUGGGGCUGCUAUCAAUAUUAUGCCGUAUGCAGUGUAUCGGAAGCUUGGGAAAGGGGAUCAAGAUUUAACCAAGACCGAUAUGAUGCUCAAAGAUUUUGAAGGAAAUGUGUCUCCGGUCUAGGGAGCCAUAUGUGUUGAGUUGACCAUCGGCAGCAAAACUUUGCCGACGACUUUCUUUGUCAUCAGUGGAAAGGGUGCUUAUAAUCUACUGUUGGGGAGAGAUUGGAUCCAUGCCAAUUGUUGCGUCCCAUCGACAAUGCACCAAUGCUUCGUUCAGUGGGUAGGUGACAAGAUUGAAAUUGUCCUGUGGGAUUCUUCAUAUGUCAUUGCAUCGGCAGAGGCAGAUACUUAUGAGAGGACUAGAUGCAUCUUGGGGGAGAUUUGGGAGAAGGAUUUCCUCAAGGUCGCCGAUUACAAAUUCCACCGAUCCAAGCAGUCGGUUCUGAUGAGAAGUUUUAAUGGAUAGGUUCGCCGAUGAUGGAAAAUUAGGCCAGGGGUUUACAUCGGCCGAUGAUUUGGUAGAAGUAGAUAUAGGUAAUGGUGAUAGGCCAAGGCCUACGUUUAUUAGUGCUAAAUUAGAUUCUGAGUGUAAGCAACAGUUAACCGAUUUGUUAAAGGAAAAUAAAGAUUGCUUUGCUUGGGAUUAUACUGAGAUGCGUGGUUUAGACCAAUCGAUCGUUGAACAUCGGUUACCUAUCAAAUCUGGAUUUUGGCCACAUCAGCAGCCAGCCCGCCGAUGCAAUCCCAAUAUUCUUCCCGAUAUCAAGGCUGAAAUAACUAAACUUAUUGAAGCUAAAUUUUUUCUGCAAUGUCGGUAUGUUGAGUGGAUUUCCAAUGUUGUUCCAGUUUACAAGAAAAACGGGAAGCUUCGUGUCUGCAUUGAUUUCAGAAAUCUUAACAAGGCUACGCCGAUGGACGGUUAUCCAAUGCCAGUUGCCGAUUUACUGGUUGAUGCUGCAGCUGGACAUCAGAUUAUUAGAUGUCCAGGUCAUGUUGGAUUGUUUGAAUGGAUAGUCAUGACCUUUGGCUUGAAGAAUGCUGGUGCUACCUAUCAAAGGGCUAUGAAUUUUAUCUUUCAUGAGCUCAUCGGCAAGUUGGUGGAAAUUUACAUUGAUGAUGUGGUGGUUAAGUCUGGGGAUUUUGUAAAGCAUCUUGCCGAUUUACGGAAGGUAUUGGAAUGUACAAGGAAACAUGGCCUGAAAAUGAAUCCUAACAGAUGUGCAUUUGGCGUAUCGGCAGGGCAGUUUCUUGGUUUCAGGGUGCAUCAGAGAGGAAUUGAAAUUAGUAGGAGAUCUAUUGAUGCCAUCAACAAAAUAGUUGCUCCCACCAAUAAAACUGAGCUCCAAUCUUUGAUCGGUAAGAUAAAUUUUAUUAGGCAAUUUAUAUCUAACUUGUCUGGUAAAAUUUGUGCUUUUAGUCCUCUGCUUAAGAUGAAAGCCGAUCAAGAGUUUAUGUGGGGAAGAGACCAACAGUUAGCAUUGGAUGAAAUCAAGAAUUAUUUGACAAAUCCUCCAGUUUUGAUUCCACCUUAGCAAGUAAAGCCUUUCAAAUUGUAUUUGUCUACCGAUGGGAUGGUUAUCGAUUCAACUUUAAUUCAAGAGUUUGAAGGGAAGGAGCAUGUGAUUUACUAUUUGAGUAGAAGACUGAUUGAUGCUGAGACAAGGUAUUCGGCAAUUGAAAAAUUAUGUUUAUGCUUAUACUUUUCAUGUGUCAAAUUGAGGCACUAUCUGCUAUCGACCGAGUGCACCGUUAUAUGCAAGAACGAUGUAGUAUGAUACAUGCUAUCUAUGCUGAUUAUGAGUGGUAGAAUCGGUAAAUGGAUUUUGGCACUAUCGGAAUUCGAUCUACGUUAUGAAUCGGCUAAGGCAUUUAAGGGGCAGAUUAUGGCCGAUUUUGUGACUCAGCAUUGCGGUGUAGUGGAAACUUUGGAAAUUGUUCCUUGAACGCUCUUCUUUGAUGGAUCUACGUGUGACCGGGGGCAGGAAUUGGUAUAGUACUAAUUUCUCCUCGGGGAAAAAGUAUGAGUUCGCCUUGCUGAUUGUGGCCACGUCGACGAAUAAUCAAGCGGAGUAUCAAGCUUUGAUCAAAGGGUUGGAAUUGUUAAAGGAGGUCCGUGCUGAUGCUGUUGAAAUCUUCGGUGAUUCUAUGCUUGUUAUAAAUCAAUUGGCUGGGAUUUAUGAAUGCCGAAGCAAAGUCUUGAUAACCUAUUAUGAAAAAAGUAUGCAACUAUUAAAGGAAUUCAAGGAUUUCCGAUUAUAGCAUGUUCCUCAAUUACAUAAUGAGGAGGCUAAUCGGUUGGCUCAGCAUGCCUCGGGAUAUCAACCCAUAUUAAAUGCGUUAUCGGCAAUCAGUGCCGAUGAUUGGAGAAAAGAGAUCAAUGAUUAUUUGAAAGAUCCAUCUAAAAAGGUUGAGAGGCGUGUUAGGUUUCAAGCUACCAAGUAUGUACUCCUUCGGGAUGAGCUAUAUUAUUGAACAAUAGAUGGUGUUCUUCUCAAGUUCUUAGGUGAUGAUGAGGCUAAAAGUUUGAUGGGUGAGAUCCAUGAAGGAGUAUGUGGAGCGCAUCAGUCGGCUUUUAAGAUGAAAUAGAUGAUUAGGAGAAACGGGUAUUAUUGGCCGACUAUACUCGAGGAUUGCUUUAAAUAUUUCAAAGGAUGCCAAGGGAGUCAGAAAUUUGGCAAUAUUCAAAGGGCUCCCGCAUCAGCCAUGAAUCCCAUUAUUAAGCCUUGGCCAUUCCGGGGAUGCGCUAUUGAUUUAAUCGGCCAGAUUUACCCACCAUCAAGCAAGGGGCAUAAGUUCAUCUUAGUUACCACUGAUUAUUUCACUAAGUGGGUUGAGGUUGUUCCUUUGAAGAAGGUAACAUCAGCUAAUAUGAUUGAUUUUGUGAAAGAGCAUAUUGUUUACUGAUUUGGUAUUCCUCAAACAAUUACUACCGAUCAGGGUACCAUGUUUACAUCGGGAGAGUUUGAUGAAUUUGCAAUCGGUAUGGCAAUUAAAGUGUUGAAUUCUUCUCCUUAUUAUGCUCAAGCCAAUGGGCAGUCCGAGGCAUCUAACAAGGGAAUUAUUAGGCUCAUCAAAUGAAAGAUUGAAGAAAAUCCUAGGAGGUGGCAUACAUUGUUGAGUGAAGCUUUAUGGUCAUAUUGGAUGGCAUGUCAUGGGUCGACCUAAGUUUCACCUUAUCAGUUGGUGUAUGGGCACGAUGCAGUGCUACCAUGGGAAAUUAAGACUUGAUCUAAGCAACUAUCUUUUCAAGACCAAUUGGCUGCCGAUGACUAUGCUACUUUGAUGAAAGAUGAGUUAGACCAUUUAGCAGAGCAUCAGCUGAGAGCUUUGAUAAGUAUAGAAGAAAAUAAAAGGAGAGUCGCUAGGUGGUAUGAUAAGAAAGUGAAGGCUAAGGAAUUUGCCGAUGGAGAUUUGGUGUGGAAACUAAUUUUACCGAUUGGGACUAAAAGUUCAAAGUUUGGCAAGUGGUCUCCUAAUUGGGAAGGUCCUUAUCGGAUAAAUCGGUCUGCUCCUGGUAAUGCUUAUAUUUUAGAGACUCUUGAAGGAAUUGAAUUUCCUAGAGCUUUAAAUGGAAAAUAUUUAAAGAAGUAUUACCCGAGCAUUUAAAUCGAUGCAUGAAAGUUUAAGUGCCGAUAACAUUCCUAUCAGUUGGAGUAAAACGUAUCUGGGACUGAGUAUGAUGUUUUUAAAAGAUGCCGAUAACAGUCCUAUUGGCUAGACCAAAAUAGUCAGCAGUUUCUAAAGGCAGAAUAAGACAUGCUGCCGAUGGAGAGCUCAUAUAUUCAGCAAGGCAUGAAUAGCCGAUAUGGGGCGUAGACGGAUUUGAUCGGCUUCUUCUAUCUCCCUGAUGUCUUCAUCGGCAGAGCCCUCCACUGGCUUCAACUUAUUCUUCAUCUACAGUGCCUUGCGGGCUUGAUUGUUUCGUUCUUGCUGGAGGGUCUUGAUCAUUUCGGGUAGCUGACUUUCUUCUUGCCGAGCUUGAGAGAGGGCCUCUUCUACUUGCUUGAACUCUGCCAGCAGGGCUUCCCUUUUUGCCGACAGAUCGGAGAUCUUCUGCCUUAGUGUCUCCCCUGAGGACUGCAGAGUGUCGAUGCUCUUGUGCUUCUCAUCAGCAAGGCGGUUCACUCGCAUUACUUCCUCUGUGAGUAGGGCAUGGGUGGCUCUAUCGGGAAGGCGUUGGGUAGCCUUUUGGUACUGGAGUUGGCGGUUCUCCAAGUGUGCAGCCUGGAAAAGGAUCUCUUCGGCAUCGGCAGGGAUUUGACCCCUAAGAGCUUUGAACAGAGCCUUGGCUGGAUCAGAAUCAUCAACCAGUUGGGCAGUGUCUUGAUGUAGCUGGGUCAACAGAUCUUCCAGUUUUGCUCUGAUCUCUAAAGAUGAAAUCCCUACUGCUUGGGAAGAGCUGGCUUCCUCAUCUUCAUCAUCAGAAAUUUCGAUGGCGAAGGAAAAGAGGCUGUCGAGAGAGUCUUGCUCCUAAAAAGGAAAAAGGAGAUAAGUCAUUUGAUGACCAAAUGUUAGUGAUAUGAAGGAUAGAGGUCAGAUGACUUACUUGUUUCAGAGCUAUUUCUCGCCUCUGGCUAGCUGAAGCCAAUGGUACAACAGGUUGGUCGGCCGGAGUUACCGAUGGGACAAUGUCAGCUGAAAGAAUAUUAAUGAUAAUUAUAAGUUGGAAAAAUAAAUCCAUCGACGAUGACUUUAUGAAUAGAACUUCACCUUGAGGAGGUGCAUUGCUUGUCUGGAUUGAAGAGACUACCGAUGAUAUGAUUGGACCCACUAGGUCGGCAGUCCGCUCAAGUACAUCGGCUAAUGUUCCUUCUGGCUGAGGUAGUUCUUGUGGCUUAGGUGGAGACAGUGCUUGCUGUGUCUGAACUUCUGGCGAAGAAGGGGACGAUUCCGCAUGAAUCGGUGACCCUGGAGGAGGAGGAGGAGGCGAUGCUGUCUUCUGGCAUUUUGCUUGUGACUUGGUGCUUUUGGGACCAUUUCUCUUGGCUUGGCUAGGCUGGGGGCAUCGGCACUUGUCUUUGUACUUCUGGUCCUUGCCGAUUUGCCAGUUUGCUGAUGCAACAACAAAAGUUUCAUAAGUACAAAUAUAACAGAGUAUUGGUGAAAUUUUGGUUGAAACAGUGAGAGUUACAGAUGAAGUUCCCAUGGGAGCCGAUGUAUCCUGAAAAGGCUGUGUAAGUAUAGAAUGGAAUCAGUAUAAAUUGAAAAAGUCAGGGAUUUACGUUGAAAGCUUGUGCCAAAGUAGUAGCAGCAACCGGUGGGAAUGUCUUUGCUUGUCUGGUGGUAAUCUUCUUGAAACGCACGUUUCGGUGCAUUAAAGCCACUAGGCUUGGUGCAUUGUUGCCGAUCAGAGAAAUUGGGCCCAAUGGAAGGAGUUCGAUCGGCUUUCCGCUCCUGCUGAUUGUCGGUGGUGUAUCGUCGACCUAAUUAAAAUUGAAGAAGAAGUUACCGAUAAGAAUAAAAGUAAUAAAAGGAUUGAGGCAUCGGUUGAAGACUUACAGUGUUCUCGGGGACUUUGUACUUGGGGUCGAUCAUGCCGCGGUAAGUGAGAGCCGAUCUGUAGAAUAGGUGCUCUUUCAAUUCCUCCCACCAUUGUUUGUAUGCCUGAGUAAUGAAGAGAGCUGGGAUCCAAGCCGAUAGAUCGAUGUCUGACGUAUCGGCAUUUGGUGGAAGUUGAGCUACUCUGAUCCACUCGAGACCGCUGGUUAUGGUCUCCCUUGGCUACACCUCAUCAGCAUAACAGAGCGCGAUCGGCAGCUACCUAAAGGCUAGUUGACGAGCCACUGCCGAUGGGUUGUAAAACUCAUAAGUGAGGUUGGAGGUUUCCCCACUGCUGAAGAAAUUCACUGGAAUAGCUCUCAGAGUGAUAAUUGCCAUCAUCAAAUCGUGGUCCUUGUUGAGGGCAUCAUCAAUGGGGUGGAAAGUGAGCGGGAAUCUGGUUUCUAGAUCUUCAUAAGGCAUCCAUGCCCGCUGGUCUUUGGCUAGACCUUCAUAGAGAGUUUGGAAGAAUCGGCUAACCUGGUCUUCAUUACCACGAGUACCAGGUAGAACUAUGGCGGCCUCACCGUAGUUCAAAGGGGAGCGAAUUGCCGAUUCUUCAUCAUCCUGUUCGUAAUCUUCGGCUAUGUCUCUAGAAAAACGCUGUGCAAAAAGAUUGAAUCCCAAGCGCUUGUGCAUAUGAACACUGAGCCACAUAUUGAUGAACCACCAGGGGCCUCCUAAGUUGCUGAUGGGUUGGCCUAGCAUGAGUUUUUGAGUUACUGUUGACGGUCCUUGAUGCUCACAUUUAACCAUCAACUAAUCAUAGAAAAGGAUCCAAAUGCAACCAACACCUAGACUUAGGGUUUUAUCUGACAUAAUUCCACAAGUUUUGGUGUUUGUCUAUUUCUGCAGGGGGUUAUCAGGAAAUACGGAAGAAAGGCCCACACGUCGGGUUUACAUAGAGAUAUUAACGUGCCGCACAAUUAUCUACCAUCUAGAAGACUCCAGAAGCCACGGGACCGAAGCGGAGGCCGAGAGGGCUCAGGCACAGGGCGCCCGCCCUAGUCCCUUGGGCGCCUGCCCUCCCCCCUGGACCAAUCAGGGUGAAGUUCGGGGAUCAUGCUCCACCGACCUAAUACUUCAAGGAAAACCGUGCGAUCAAUGUCGGUUUGAUCCGAUGGCCAAGAUUCACUUGAAGGGACUAUAAAACCAGACCCCCUGGCCCCUGGAGAUCAUACCUCUUCUACAGAAUCAAAGUUAGAGUUCCAAUUCUUCAUCCAAGUAGAGAGGAUCCCUCUAGUUCUUCUAGUUCUAGUUCCUCUAGUUCUAGUUCUAGUUCCUCUAGUUCUAGUUCUAGUUAGUUGUAGUUGUAAUCUAGAAAAUAGGGAGAGAGAAGAGGAGAGCAGAGGAGGAGCCAGAUCUGUCGGAUCUUCCUCAACAUUGUACUUUUGCAGCAACUGGUUCAUUCUUCAUCGUUCUCCAGGUUCUUCAAUUCAUAACUCCUGAGUUCUUUAAUUACUUUUAUUUACAUUCAAGUUAUUUAUUGGAUUCCCGCUUGCAUCAAGUGCUCUAGUCUUUAUAACGCUAGAGUAGUAAUUAAUAGAUUAGACGUGGUGUUUAGUCUUGCGAUUACUUGGAAUUGCACCCAAUCCUGCGGAUUGUUGUGGUAGCCUUAGGGUAGUGACAGCCCUAACGGUCGACGUAUUCCACCACGUUCGGAUCGGUGUUUGUAGGACCGUAGUCAGACCUUCCUAGCCCCCUUCUCAUCUUUUUCUAUGGUUAGUGCUCUGAUGUCCCGAUAUAGAUAAUCUUGAAGUAAUUCUUGAUUAUUAGAUCAACUAGAGAACUCUCAGGAAACUUCCUCUCUUCCCACCAAAAAUAAUUAUAUAGUUAUCCUUGGGCGAUCUUGGAUCUUAAUUAGUACACUUACGUUCUCUGUGGAAAAUCGAUACUCUGGAAUACUCCCGGGUGAAGGCUACAUCGGUAUCCGUGCGCUUGCAGAUUUUUCUGUUUGCGUUUAAAAUACCCAACAAGCUUUCUGGCGCCGUUGCUGGGGAACGGUAGCUGUGCUAGUUUCGAACCAAGUCGUCCCAUGUAUCCUUUUUCUUUUCCUUUUUAACCACACUCACCUUACCAUUUUCACCAUACCACAUGGAUUUCACUCUAAGCAUUAAUGAGCAUGGAAUUUAUUUCAUAGCCACUUCAUUUACUCCAUGCUCAUAUGCAACAUCUUCACAAUCCAUUGGUCUCUCCAACAUCACCACAUUCGAGAUCUCCAACCCCCACUUCCUUUCUAUUUAUAAAAACUUUAAAAGGGUGGUUGUCGAUGCAUAUGUCUAUAAUAAAUUUUGCAGAUCUCGUUGAGUUGAUCUUGAUAUAGGUUUGCGUUGGAGGGGAAACCACUUCGCCGACAUAAAUUGAUGGUUUCCCAAGGACAAGCUUAGUGUCCUAAAACAAGCACUGAUCAGAUCGUAACAUGAGCUUUUAAUUAUUUGCAACAUUACCUUGUGUAUUGAGCAUAUAAGGAUAAUUGUAAAAAAAUUCCUUCGGGUAUUCUUGUCACUAACCUUUCUAGGAUUGGAGCAAGAAGAUCGGAUGAAUGACAAGCACAAGGUAUGUCCAACCAAUCAUCAUACAACAUUGAAUUAAAUUCAUCCAAACUUGAAUUUUACAAAAUUCAAGCUUGGGGGAGUACUUUACAUAAAAACAUCCUUUGCAAUGUUGCUAUGUUGGUUGUCCUUACCUUUGAGACAUGCUCAAUUUGUUAAAUACUAAACACACUACUUCAUCUCCACUUAAGUAGAUCUCUAUAAAUGCUCUCAUGGUACCUUUAUUUGCUUUAGUAUAUGUUUAGGUUUGGAGUAGUUUCAUUUAUCUCUUAAUUAAGCAUGGUGCUUAGUUAGGAAUGAUGAUCUUACUUCCAAGGGAUUUUAAAUUAAGCAUGAUGCUUAGGUUAAAAUGCCCUCCUAAAUCAAAUUAGACAUGGUGUCUAGGUUGAUCUUUGAGCCGAUAGUAUGCUAUAGUAGAUAUUGGAUAUUUUGUUGGACUAACCCCUGUAGGAAAACUUUCAAUAUCAACCUGGGAAGUCCUGAGAUAAACUCACAUUGGAGACAAAGAGAGACACACAUGAAGUUUAACAAUUUACACAAGGAAGGCAUAGCUCACAAGAGAUGAUCCAUGGAGGGUGCCAAAAACACGAUGCACAACCGCUAAGAGAGGAAAGCUUCCACAAGGUGAUACUGUACCAUCACUCUUCAAGUAAGGUAACAUCUUAAAGUACUUGACUAUCACUUUUAUAAGCUUCUCCUUGGUUCUGGCGUUCACAUGAGUAAAAGAGACAAACAUGUAUGAUUUACAACUCUAGAUUAACCAACCCAAUCGAUUCAACAUGUUUAGUCCUUCCACCUUUGUGAUUCCACACUCCUAAUCAUAUGAGCUAAAAUGUUGCACAUUCAAUCUUUGGAAGAUAUAAACAAAACAUAAAUAUAGAUAGAUUAUCUUUCCAUUAGGUUGAGCGAUUUGAUCUGACAAAUGUUUUAAAUGCUACACUCAUGAUCUUAUUAUCCAUCAACUUUGUCUUGCUCACUAUGCUUAAGGUUAGAGAAGAACAAAUACACUUUUGGUUCUGUUGGUGUUUUCCACCAAUAGGGCCCAUGCACUUGAUCUCUGCCUUGUCUCUAUGAAUAGGCACACUUCGAGCAAAAUAUGAAGGACUUUUACAACUCCGAGACUCCACCGAGUGAAGAACCUAGAUUUACGAGCACAAACACACUGGAGAUACUGGACACUCAGGCAAUCACUGCCCUGAGAUGCUUGAGGACGUAACUACUGGAGUAACCCCAUUGUGGAAGUAAUUACUGACCUUCUGCCGGUCAAGAGAGACAAUCCAGGACGCCCCGUCAUCCCGAUCUCCAUCGGAAUGGUGGACUUCCCAGAAGCACUCUGCAACUUUGGCUCCAGCGUCAACAUUAUGCUCAGGGUACUCUAUGAAAUUCUUUACACAUCCUUUCCUAGAAACAACCAUGUGUUUGCAGCUUGCAGAUCAGACACUAAGUUUCCCAAAGGGGAUAUUUAAGAACUUCUGCGUCCGAGUUGGUACCUUGUACGCCCCAGCAGACUUCAUGGUGAUAGAGACUGGUACUGAUGAGAGGGGACCCAUCAUCCUAGGGAGGCCAUUCCUGAACACCUCGGGAGCUGUCAUCUAUGCUAGUGCUGCCAAGAUCAGUUUCUACAUCAAGGGGAAGAAGGAGACGUUUUCCUUCAAGAACAAGACUACACAAAUCUUAGAGCAAUCCCGACAUGAACCAAGGAAGAGGACCAACAGGAGGAACAAGAACAAGCAAAUGUGUACCGAGUCAGCUAAGAUGGUCACUGCAGCUCAAGGAGGUCAAGAUCGUCAACUCAAGUCACCUUUCUUGAUCAAGAAGGACGACCCUGGUGUCCCAAGCAUCGAGUGCACAAUCAACGGAUAUUCUUUUCAGAAGACACUCUACGACACCGGAUCUAACGUCAACAUAAUGGCCGCAGUCACUUAUCAGCUCCUGCAUGGAACCAUGUCCCUACAACCAACAUACAUUCAGCUCCAGAUGAUUUUAAGGUUAUUGACAUGGGAGAAGACAAGUACGAUCCACCCAUCAUCCUUGGAAGACCGUUCCUCAGCAUUGUUAAAGCAAUCAUCUACAUUGGAACCGGAGAAGUCCACAUGCACUUCCCCUCUGAGAAGGUCAGGGCAAGAAGAAGACGACGCAACCGCAACCAGAGGAGGCAAAUCAUCAAGGACGGAUGGGCAGACUAUAAAGGAGAAGUCGUAAGGUCUGAAGACAUACAACUUGAACAGAACUGUCCUGAGGAGACCGUAGCACCGAGUCAGGUGUGUAGAGAGAAGAUAGUUAUACAUGAAGAGGAGGCACCGCCGGAACCACCGACUACGCCAUCCAGCGAAUCCCAGGACCACUGAGAAAACGGAGAGUCCCGUUCGGAGGACGUAAAAACACCGAACGCCUUGCCAAAAGGUAAACUUGGUAGUUAUCUUUUUCCUUUUAAUUAUUUAAAAUAGUUUUGUUAGUUAAUCAGGUUCAUAUCAUCUUGAAACGAAAAUAAAAAUGUUAAAAAUAGUAAGCCCCAUGUGAGUAUGCUCAUGGCAUAAAACCCAUAAGUACAUUCACUGUGGUGGCAUAAAAAUAAAUAUAUAUAUAUUCCUGUCCUAUAAAAAUGAAAAUAUAAAAAUAAAUUUAUGAUCCUACUAAAGAGAGUAACAUUUAUUGAGGAGGCUCAACAUGAUAAAGGCUAGAUAUUUAUGCUAACACUUAACUAGUUCCACAAAGCUUUGUUGUCUAUUUGAGCUCCACAGAAUUAAAGGAUCAAAGAAGACUAGUAGACGGAGGACAUCCUAAUCAAUGUCAGGGUGCUGCCGACAUUCAAAUACACCUCCGCCACCUGCUACAUCAAAAGGAAUUACGUCAAAAUCCAGCUUGGGGGAGAGCACCUCCAUUUAUCCAGCUAAGUAUUCUACUCACGUUUAUAUUUUACUCAAAUAAUAAAAAGAUGCAUAAUCAUAAAAACCCAAAUAAAGAUUUUGUGCUUAUAUAUAUAUAUCUUUGCUUAGUUUGCUAAAUAAAUAAAUAAAAUUUUCUAUGAACCCUCACGAUAAGCUCUCACAUGGAAAGAUGAAUAGUUGCUCUGCCAUGACUAGUUCUCAAAAUUGAAAUCUCUCUCAAGUUUAGGCAUCACUGUUAUUAAUUAAGAUUUGCUCUAAACCUGAACUUGUGGGAAGAGUACUUGAAAUGAAGUCUAAGUCGUUAACGGAUAUGAUAUGGGAAGGUUGAGCUGCUGUUUAUCUGUUCCUAGAGAUGCUAGAAUUCUGGAGAAUUGUAUCUUUAAAAACCUUUAAAAUAUCACAUGAUGAGUUCCUGUAUGAUGAGAGUUUAAAUUCCUACCACAACCAUAUAUACAUGCUUGCUAGACUUUGAGCCACACAUUUACUUUUUACUGCUUAUGAGCAUUGAGUGUGGUCAAGCUGUGUAGACCCUUAGGAGCUUGUCAUGUGGUUAAGUCAAGAUUCACUUGCACGUUCACUCAUACAUGCUACUUCUACUCUGGAAGUACCAUCCACAUAUACCCAUUUCCAUCUGCAAAACCACCCAAAAAUAUUCUACUCCUAAUCCGGGAGAGAAUAGCCAAAAAUAUUUCUAUUUUUUCCCUGUGAAAUAAAUGCUCAAGUUAUCUUGUUACUACCACUUGCUAUAUUAUCUCAUGAGAUGAGUGCUCUAAAGAAAAAAAAGAGAGAAAAAAAUACGAGGAAAUAAAAAGGGGCAAGUGCCCGGAACCUCGAAAGAAAAGAAAAAGUGAGACGAGAGGUAAAAAUGGACAAGUGUCCGACAGUAGAAUUAGGGGUACGAGAUACCCACCUGAGAGAAAAGAAAAAAGAAAAUAUAGAGCAUCUCAUUCUCCUCAAAAGUUUCAAAAGAGCAAGAAAGGUAUGUAUCCCUUCAAAAGAGCACAAGUAGAAUUAGACUUUCACCAUUGUUAUCACCAUCAUCACCAUACACCAUUCAUUUGCCACACAUACACAUCUUGAUUUGACUUAUUGACUUGUUCUUUUGGAUCCAUGGUUUGACUAUGCAAUAAAUGUCUUGUAAGUAUGUAUUAGCUAUCUCCCACCUAUGAGCUCCAGAUAUCAAAACCUUAUUAGAGUAGGGUGAGAGAGAAGGCAAUGGCACUAUGCCUCAUACCAAAAAUACCACAUACUUUGAGAGAAAGCAUACACCAUUACUGCCUUGGUAAGGAUCCAGAAAUACCACAAAAGAGAGACUAGAGAGAGUCAUACAAGGAAUCUCUGAGUUUUAUUUGAAAAUCUGCAAAAACUCCAGAGCUAUAGCUGAUCAAGAAUAAGAGACAUGGUGCUUGACUAGACCGUUCUAUCUUUUAACUACUCAAGACACAGGUGACGGUUGCAAGCCCCAUGGUGGAAGGUAAAAUGAGUGAAUUUAAAUCUUAACAGUUUACCCUAACCCAGAGAUGAGAUCUUGUUUGAACGUAUGUGUAUCUUUAAGGCAUGAAACCACUGCAGAAACUCUUGAGUUCAUCUUUGCUCAGGGAUGAGCAAAGGUUAAGCUUGGGGGAGCUUGUUGACGGUCCUUGAUGCUCACAUUUAACCAUCAACUAAUCAUAGAAAAGGAUCCAAAUGCAACCAACACCUAGACUUAGGGUUUUAUCUGACAGAAUUCCACAAGUUUUGGUGUUUGUCUAUUUCUGCAGGGGGUUAUCAGGAAAUACGGAAGAAAGGCCCACACGUCGGGUUUACAUAGAGAUAUUAACGUGCCGCACAAUUAUCUACCAUCUAGAAGACUCCAGAAGCCACGGGACCGAAGCGGAGGCCGAGAGGGCUCAGGCACAGGGCGCCCGCCCUCCCCCCUGGACCAAUCAGGGUGAAGCUCGGGGAUCAUGCUCCACCGACCUAAUACUUCAAGGAAAACCAUGCGAUCAAUGUCGGUUUGAUCCGAUGGCCCAGAUUCACUUGAAGGGACUAUAAAACCAGACCCCC
rnacentral:lncRNA from 1 species